UUCAUCAUCUGCAGCUACAACCCGCCAGGCAACUUCCCCGGGGUGAGCCCGUACUAGGCUAUAUGCAUGAUGCAUGCAUGCGAGCGUGCAUGUAAGUACGGCGUAUUGCAUAAAUAAAAUGAUUAAGCUGUGAUAACUGCAGUGUGAUCAGAGAUGUGAUAUCUAAUUAACCAGCCGGCCGGAUUUGAGGCCAUAUAUUGUUUAGACCGGCUGUAUAUAUGUACUGUUAUGAUUCAGGUAAUAAGUUGUGUUAUUGUACAAGCAGUGUAUAUGGAUGAAUAUAUGGUUCUACUAUUAUACUGACUAUGGUAUUUGUGCCUUGCUGUGGGAAACAACCCCAGCAUACAUAGAAACCACCAAUCAAAGUGUCUUUCUUUCAUUUUAUCAUCUCGCACUUGUUCUUUAUGUUCUGCAUUUUCUUUUUUGGAUCCCAACUCGUACACACAAACGGAGUAGAUCUCGAGAGGGCACACUAGGUCUCGUCCUGAGACUCUCGCUCCCUCCGCUGCGCCAUAGGCCACUUUGGCCGUGACGGUCACCCACUCUGCCAUUAUGGCUCACCCAUCCCCUCCCAGGUUUCACUAUGGAUCCAACUCCGGCCGCGGUCCAGUGCAAGCUUGCUCUCAACCAGCAGUCCAUCGUAGGUUCCGGACUCGCUUUCGGCCCCGCCCGUGAAUGCAGUAGAUCUGACCUCGACGCCACGAAUCCUGCCGCGGGGAGAGUCAUCCCAUGCCAUGCAUGCCUGUGGUACUUCGGAUCUGGGCAGUGUGAUUGAGCGGCAGUACCUAAAUCCAUCGUGGUCAUCCCUUCCGCUCUUGUCAACGUUUCCUAUUCAGGCGAGGACGAAGGAUGGACAAAGCUCUAAUCCCGAAUGAACACACAGACAAGUAAGGAGCCAUCAAUUAUUAGCGCGCACGUACAGCUACACCAUUUGGACCGACGCUGGGACAUCAAUGGUGCGCCGGGCCAUGAGGCCUUCUUAAGCUGCUUCAAAAUCCGAGAUCCUCUCGGCUGCAUCAUUUGCAAGCUGCCAGGGCAUUUCAGUAGAGAGUACCCUCAAAAUCCAUGAAACAGCGGACCAUGAGGGGCUGCCCGUGCGAGGCUAUGUCCGGCACCGACCAGGGCGCCAGUUCAAGAUCAGGUUCAAACCGCCGGGCAACUACCCCUUCAUCCACCAAAAGAGAUAAAAUGCGAAUGAACUUCACUAUUUGUUUCAGAAGAUAACUUACCAGUGUUGUUGUUAAUUACAAAUGAUUGUGAAGGUGUAUGGUAGGAAGCCAAUAACACUUAGUGUGGAAUAUUUUUAGAAUGUAAAGUGCAUAAUUUUUGUCUUGGAGAUGCCGGCUUGUUUCUAGUAUGAUAUAAAUUGCAAUCUUAUAAAUAGUGCUGUUUAGUUCAAUUGUUGCUCAAUAGAACAUCUCAAAAUAUCUUCGAAAGAGUUCAAUCAAUUCUUGCGAGUUAACCCGCCAAUAAUGAUUUAUGGCUAUUUGAUACUCUGGGUGCAUAUAUGCAGAAAAUAAAUCGUAUUGGUUGCAGGUUAUGAUGCUAAUACUGGACAAGGAAGCACUGGUGCAGCAGCUGUAAUCUGGAGGGGUCUAUCAUAUUGCCCGUAUCUUCUCUCACAUGUUGUGACUCGAGGCUGAAGAAACCGAAAUUAUUGCCUGGCUGAAGGACUAAAAGCACCGACGACAGUUGUAAUCCAUCCCAUCAUUCAGAUUGUUUGGCUGUUGUUUCUACUUUGAAGAAUGCAGUGCACAAUAAACCUCGACUUCACAAUAGUGAUGUGGAAACUUGGGGCUGAAUUUGUGAAGAUUGCCAGCAUGAUUCUUAUCAAUUUGGUAAAUUUUAAAACCAUAUAACAAAAAAAAAAAUGCUCAAACAUGUUGUGUCUGGUUUUUGUCGCUAGCUUUUAAACAGUAGAAAAGAUACUCUUGGUAUAGAUUGGAAAGUGUUUGAACUGAACCAGAAAAGAAAAUAUAUUUUGCAUAUACUCCAUGGGUAAGUCAUGCAGGUUGCUCUGGCAAUUAAAAAUGUAGCUAAUGGUCAGUUAUUCUUGACACUUUGGGUCUAGAUAAUUUAGGUUUCUUUCUGUUUGGUCAAUAUUAAUUAUUAUACAAUUUUAUAUAUCCAAGUAGAGAUUACAUGCCCUCACGUUUGGACUGAUCAGGGCAAAGAUUAAGUUCCGUCUAAACAACUAAAUUAUUUUAGAGGCUAUAAGUAUACCCAGCAAGGUGACCCGCGCAAGAUUUCCUAUGAGUUUUUCAUACCUAUAUUUGCAUGAGAUGUUGAGCUUGCCAUGCAAAAUUAUGGAAAAAUUUAUAGUGAAAUACACAAUAUGGAAAAUGAUUUGUCAUUGUUCUAUUUUCAGUAAAGUCAUCUGCAGACAUGGAAAAUGUUUUUAAUUUAACUACUAACAUGUUUUGUUGUUUUAUUUUGUAUAUCAUUCAAAAAAAAUAUUAUAGUCAAUACAUAUAUCAUGAGGAAAGACAUAUCUGUUGUUUUAUUGUGUAUAUUAAGUUGUUUGUAAAAGAUUUUGUAUGUGACAACAAGAACCAUAGCACUGAGUCAUGCCAAUCUACAUAGAUUAUGUGUGGAUUUCUUUUGUAUUUCCCCUUUUCAUGUUCAUCUAUUCAAUUGGGUAUCGCUAUUCUAUCCCCAAUAAAAAACCUUUCCAACCAAGUGAAAUAUAAAUAAAAGUUCGUAUGUAUUCAUCAAAAAAAUUCUAAAACAGGCUCACCAUGAAAUUAUGGUCGUAUAGUUGCAUUUGACCUAGGAACUAAAUAAUACACCUUCCCUCGAAAAACAACUAAAUAAUACACCUCGGCGGUAGUGCUUUGUUUAAAAUAUUCGGGUGUUUUUUUCUACUUUAAUACUGGCACGUGUACAACCCUUUUGAAAGUAGGAAUAUAAUUCCUCUCUAAAAAGGGGGAUAGUGUGUGUAAAAUGUAUGUCUUCUCGCUGUUAAUUCUUCCUUCCUUUGUCAUCCAUAUCCAACCUAUUUCUAUAAUGAUGUUGUGUGGUAUGAUUAUAAAAGGACGGACAACAUAGAGUAUUAUUUAUUUCACAUGGAUGGUUUUAUCAACUUGCUAACCAUGCCUUUUUGAUAGGUUUUUAGAUAGCUUAUAUUGCUCGUGCCGGUAACUCGCUAACCUUUUUUUUUUGAAAAAAGCCAGCCUUGGCUAGAGUUUCAUUCAUUAAGCAGGGAGCAGUGGACAAAGUGAGAAAGGCGGUGAUCCAGGGAUCAAGGAGGUAACAAAAGAAAAGAAAUGGAGGAGUGCCUAGGGCACCAAGAACUAGGCUAUAAUCCCACGGUGGAUCCCCGAAGGGGCUCUGAAGAAAUUUGAAACCACCCUGCUGCCACAGGCUAAGCUCUCUCCUGAUAUCGUCGAUCACAUCGUCGAUCACAUCACGCAUCCUCGCCUCCUUCUUCCUGAAAACGCAGCUGUUGCCUUGCUGCCAGAUUUUCCACAGCGCAAGCAUUAUCAGAGAUUUGAUUCCUUUUGCGUGAGCUGGCCGUGUCGUGGAGUCCACGGCUUCCACCUUUUUCAGAGAGUUGCUGUUGUUGGACUCGCACACAUGGCUCAGACCUUGGCAGUGCUGCUAAGAAGACAGUUCAGCCAAAUUGUCUUUGAGAAAGAGCAAUCCCAGAACAGGUGUGUCGAGGUCUCGAGGUUUCUGAGGCAGAGCUGGCAGAAAUAGUCGUUUGUCCAGCCCCUACGUUGGAGACGGUCGUUGCACCACAGCCGGUUCUGGUGGAGGAGCCAUGCAAACAUCUUAAGCUUCACCGGAGCCCAAGCGCCCCAGAUCAGGGCCUGGUGCAUGCCAGUCAUCAAGCCCAAGAACUGAAGGGAGUAGGCCGAGUGGGAGCUGUACUGGCCUGACCCCUCCGAGUUCCAGCGAAUUUGAUCUUGUUCUUCUGCCUGGAGGUUGAGCCGCUGACGUUGAAUAAGUCGAGGUAGGUUUAAAACCUCGCUGACUAGGUCGCUGAUGUUGCCAUGUGCGAGGUCCAAAACCCAUCGAUCGCCGUUGAUAGCCUGAGCCACAGUUCUGCCCUUGCGCCUCGAGUGUUUGAAAAGAGUUGGGAAGCAGAACUUCAACGGCACCGGCCCAAGCCAUGAGCAAUGCCAGAAGGUCGUUGUCUUGCCGUUGCCAAUGGUUACCGUCGUUGCCGCGUUGAACAGAGCAUGGUCCGAGGCAUCACAUGGCGGCUCCGUUCCCACCCAAGGGCGAGUGGGGUUUUUCCAGCCGUGCUCGACCAGGGAGCAGACUUGUUCCCAGUUGACCUUGCAGCUGAUACGUCCAUUUUGCAUCAUGCUUUUAUAUCAAUAUUUAUUGCAUUAUGGGCUUUUAUUACACAUUAUGUCACAAUAUUUAUGCCUAUUCUAUCUUAUUUUACAAGGUUUACAUGAAGAGGGAGAAUGCCGGCAGCUGGAAUUCUGGGCUAGAAAAGGAGCUAAUAUUAGAGACCUAUUAUGCACAGCUCCAAAAGUCCUGAAACUUAACGGAGGCAGUUUUUGGAAUUAAUAAAAAAUACUGGCAACAGAAUUAACCAGAGGGGGCCCACACCCUGACCACGAGGGUGGGGGGCGCGCCCUACCCCCUUGGGCGCGCCCCUGCCUCGUGGGCCCCCUGGUAGGCCUCCAGUGCCCAUCUUCUACUAUAUGAAGUCUUUCACCAUGGAAAAAAUAAGGAGGAAGCUUUCGGGACGAAACACCGCCGCCACGAGGCGGAACCUUGGCGGAACCAAUCUAGGGCUUCGGCGGAGUUGUUCUGCUGGGGAAACAUCCCUCCGGGAGGAGGAAAUCAUCACCAUAGAUCCUCUCAGCGGGAGGGGGUCAAUCUCCAUCAACAUCUUCACCAGCACCAUCUCCUCUCAAACCCUAAUUCAUCUCUUGUAUCCAAUCUUUGUCCCAAAACCUCAGAUUGGUACCUGUGGGUUGCUAGUAGUGUUGAUUACUCCUUGUAGUUGAUGCUAGUUGGUUUAUUUGGUGGAAGAUCAUAUGUUCAAAUCCUUUAUGCAUAUUAAUACCCCUCUGAUUAUGAACAUGAAUAUGAUUUGUGAGUAGUUACGUUUGUUCCCGAGGACAUGGGAGAAGUCUUGCUAUAAGUAGUCAUGUGAAUUUGGUAUUCGUUCGAUAUUUUGAUGAGAUGUAUGUUAUCUUUCCUCUAGUGGUGUUAUGUGAACGUCGACUACAUGACACUUCACCAUUGUUUGGGCCUAGAGGAAGGCAUUGGGAAGUAAUAAGUAGAUGAUGGGUUGCUAGAGUGACAGAAGUUUAAACCCUAGUUUAUGCGUUGCUUCGUAAGGGGCUGAUUUGGAUCCAUAUGUUUCAUGCUAUGGUUAGGUUUACCUUAAUACUUCUUUUGUAGUUGCGGAUGCUUGCGAUAGGGGUUAAUCAUAAGUGGGAUGCUUGUCCAAAGAAGGGCAGUACCCAAGUACCGGUCCACCCACAUAUCAAAUUAUCAAAGUAACGAACGCGAAUCAUAUGAGCAUGAUGAAAACUAGCUUGACGAUAAUUCCCAUGUGUCCUCGGAAGCGUUUUCCUUCAUAUAAGAGUUUGUCUAGGCUUGUACUUUGCUACAAAAAGGAUUGGGCCACCUUGCUGCACCUUAUUUACUUUCAUUACUUGUUACCCGUUACAAAUUACCUUAUCACAAAACUAUCUGUUACCGAUAAUUUCAGUGCUUGCAGAGAAUACCUUACUGAAAACCGCUUGUCAUUUCCUUCUGCUCCUCGUUGGGUUCGACACUCUUACUUAUCGAAAGGACUACCAUAGAUCCCCUACACUUGUGGGUCAUCAAGACUCUUUUCUGGCACCAUUGCCGGGGAGUGAAGUGCCUUUGGUAAGUGGAAUUUGGUAAGGAAAAAUGUAUACAGUGUGCUGAAAUUUACUGUCACUUGUUACUAUGGAAAGUAAUCCGUUGAGGGGCUUGUUCGGGGUAUAUUCAUGCCGACCAAUAGAGCAAAGAGUUGCUCCUCAACCUACUAAACCUACUGAAAAUGUUUACUUUGAAAUUCCUCCGGGUAUGAUAGAGAAACUGCUAGCUAAUCCUUUUACAGGAGAUGGAACAUUGCAUCCCGAUUUACACCUAAUCUAUGUGGAUGAAGUUUGUGGAUUAUUUAAGCUUGCAGGUAUGCCCGAGGAUGUUAUCAAGAAGAAGGUCUUCCCUUUAUCUUUGAAGGGAAAGACAUUGACAUGGUUUAGGCUAUGUGAUGAUAUGGGAUCAUGGAACUACAACCGACUGAAAUUGGAAUUUCAUCAGAAGUUUUAUCCUAUGCAUCUUGUUCAUUGUGAUCGUAAUUAUAUAUACAAUUUUUGGCCUCACGAAGGAGAAAGCAUCGCUCAAGCUUGGGGGAGGCUUAAGUCAAUGUUAUAUUCAUGCCCCAAUCAUGAGCUCUCAAGAGAAAUUAUUAUUCAAAAUUUUUAUGCUCGGCUUUCUCUCAAUAAUCGCUCCAUGCUCGAUACUUCUUGUACUGGAUCUUUUAUGAUGAAGACUAUUGAAUUCAAAUGGGAUUUAUUGGAAAGAAUUAAACGCAACUCUGAAGAUUGGGACCUCGACGAAGGUAAGGAGUCAGGUAUAACACCUAAGUUUCAUUGUGUUAAAUCUUUUAUGGAUACCGAUGUUUUCCGUGAAUUUAACACUAUAUAUGGACUUGAUUCUGAGAUAGUAGCUUCUUUCUGUGAAUCCUUUGCUACUCAUGUUGAUCUCCCUAAGGAGAAGUUGUUUAAAUAUAAUCCUCCCAUUGAAGUAAAAGUAGUUGCACCUAUUAAAGUUGAAGAAAAGACUAUCACUUAUAAUGUUGAUCCUGUUGUUCCUACUGCUUAUAUUGAGAAAGCACCUUUCCCUGUUAGAAUAAAGGAUCAUGCUAAAGCUUCAACUGUGGUUCGUAAGAGUAACGCUAGAACACCUACACCCCCUGAGCAAAUUAAAGUUGAACCUAGUAUUGCUAUGGUUAAAGAUCUCUUGGUCGAUAAUAUUGAUGGGCAUGUUAUUUACUUCUGUGAUGAAGCUGCUAGAAUUGCUAGACCUGAUACUAAAAAUAAACAUAGACCUGUUGUAGGCAUGCCUGUUAUUUCUGUUAAAAUAGGAGAUCAUUGUUAUCAUGGUUUGUGUGAUAUGGGUGCUAGUGCAAGUGCAAUACCUCAUUCCUUAUACAAAGAAAUUAUGCAUGAUAUUGCACCUGCUGAGAUAGAAGAAAUUGAUGUUACAAUUAAACUUGCCAAUAGAGACACUAUUUCACCAGUUGGGAUUGUUAGAGAUGUUGAAGUCUUGUGUGGGAAAGUUGAAUAUCCUGGUGAUUUUCUUGUUCUUGGUUCCCCACAAGAUGACUUUUGUCCUAUUAUAUUUGGUAGACCCUUCUUGGAUACUGUUAAUGCUAGGAUAGACUGCAAAAAGGAUGUUGUUACUAUUGGUUUAGGAGAUAUGUCUCAUGAGUUUAAUUUUGCUAAAUUUCGUAGACAACCCCAUGAUAAAGAAUUGCCUAGUGAAGAUGAAAUUAUUGGUCUUGCUUCUAUUGCCGUGCCUCCUAAUGAUCCUUUAGAACAAUAUUUGCUAGACCACGAAAAUGAUAUGUUUAUGAAUGAAAGAAGGGAAAUAGAUGAAGUAUUCUUUAAACAGGGACCUAUUUUGAAACACAACUUGCCUGUUGAAAUCCUAGGGGAUCCUCCUCCACCCAAGGGUGAUCCCGUGCUUGAGCUUAAACCAUUACCUGGUACUCUUAAAUAUGCAUAUCUUGAUGAAAAGAAGAUAUAUCCUGUUAUUAUUAGUGCUAACCUUUCAGAGAAGGAAGAAGAGAAAUUAUUGAAAACUAUUAAGAUGCUUAAAGACGUUAUUUUUCCGAGGUUUGGAGUCCCUAGAUAUUUAAUGACUGAUGGUAGUUCACAUUUUAUUCAUGGUGCUUUUCGUAAAAUACUUGCUAAUUAUGAUGUUAAUCAUAGAAUUGCAUCUCCCUACCACCCACAAUCUAGUGGUCAAGUAGAAUUAAGUAAUAGAGAGAUCAAAUUAAUUUUGCAAAAGACUGUUAAUAGAUCUAGAAAGAAUUGAUCCAGGAAACUUGAUGAUGCAUUAUGGGCCUAUAGAACUGCAUAUAAAAAUCCUAUGGGUAUGUCUCCAUAUAAAACAGUUUAUGGAAAAGCAUGUCAUUUACCUCUCGAACUAGAACAUAAGGCAUAUUGGGCCAUUAAAGAGAUCAAUUAUGAUUUCAAACUUGCCGGUGAGAAGAGGCUAUUUGACAUUAGCUCACUUGAUGAAUGGAGAACCCAAGCCUAUGAGAAUGCCAAACUGUUUAAAGAAAAAGUUAAAAGAUGGCAUGGCAAAAGAAUACAAAAGCGUGCGUUUAAUUGAUACGUCUCCAACGUAUCUAUAAUUUUUGAUUGUUCCAUGCUAUUAUAUAUUCUGUUUUGGAUGUUUAAUGAGAUUUAUUUUACACUUUUAUAUUAUUUUCGGGACUAACCUACUAACCCAAGGCCCAGUGCAAAUUGUCGUUUUUUUGCCUAUUUCAGUGUUUCACAGAAAAGGAAUAUCAAACGGAGUCCAAACGGAAUGAAACCUUCGGGAGAGUUAUUUUUGGAACAAACGUGAUCCAGAGGACUUGGAGUGGACGUCAAGAAACGAACCAGGAGGUCACGAGGCAGGGAGGCGCGCUUUCCCCCCUGGGCGUGCCCCCCACCCUCGUGGGCCCCUCGUGGCUCCACCGACCUACUUCUUCCUCCUAUAUAUACCUAUGUACCCCGAAAACAUCAAGGAGCACCACGAAACCCUAUUUCCACCGCCGCAACCUUCUGUACCCGUGAGAUCCCAUCUUGGGGCCUUUUCCGGCGCUCCGCCGGAGGGGGCAUCGAUCACGGAGGGCUUCUACAUCAACACCAUAGCCUCUCUGAUGAUGUUUGAGUAGUUUACCACAGACCUUUGGGUCCAUAGUUAUUAGCUAGAUGGCUUCUUCUCCCUCUUUGGAUCUCAAUACAAAGUUCUCCUCGAUCUUCUUGGAGAUCUAUUCGAUGCAACUCUUUUUGCGGUGUGUUUGUCGAGAUCCAAUGAAUUGUGGGUUUAUGAUCAAGAUUAUCUAUGAACAAUAUUUGAAUCUUCUCUGAAUUCUUUAUGUAUGAUUGGUUAUCUUUGCAAGUCUCUUCGAAUUAUCAGUUUGGUUUGGCCUACUAGAUCGAUCUUUCUUGCAAUGGGAGAAGUGCUUAGCUUUGGGUUCAAUCUUGCGUUGCUCGAUCCUAGUGACAGAAGGGGAAACGACACAUAUUGUAUUGUUGCCAUCGAGGAUAAAAAGAUGGGGUUUAUAUCAUAUUGCUUGAGUUGAUCCCUCUACAUCAUGCCAUCUUGCCUAAUGCGUUACUCUGUUCUUAUGAACUUAAAACUCUAGAUGCAAGCUGGAUAGCGGUCGAUGUGUGGAGUAAUAGUAGUAGAUGCAGGCAGGAGUCGGUGUACUUGUUGCGGACGUGAUGCCUAUGUACAUGAUCAUGCCUAGAUAUUCUCAUAAUUAUGCACUCUUCUAUCAAUUGCUCGAUAGUAAUUUGUUCACCCACCGUAAUACUUAUGCUAUCUUGAGAGAAGCCACUAGUGAAACCUAUGGCCCCCGGGUCUAUUUUCUAUCAUAUAAGUUUCCAACCUAUUUUUACUUUGCAAUCUUUACUUUUAAUCUUUAGCUUAAAAAUACCGAAAAUAUUAUCUUAACAUCUCUAUCAGAUCUCACUUUUGCAUGUGGCCGUGAAGGGAUUGACAACCCCUUUAUCACGUUGGUUGCAAGGUUCUUAGUUGUUUGUGUAGGUACGAGGGACUUGCGUGUGGCCUCCUGCUGGAUUGAUACCUUGGUUCUCAAAAACUGAGGGAAAUACUUACGCUACUUUGCUGCAUCACCCUUUCCUCUUCAAGGGAAAACCAACGCAGUGCUCAAGAGGUAGCAAGAAGGACUUCUGGUGCCGUUGCCGGGGAGGCUUACACUAAGUCAAGUCAAGAUUUGAACUCCCGACAACGAGCGAUUUCUGGUGCCGUUGCCGGGGAGUCUACGCACAAGAGAAGACAUACCAAGUACCCAUCACAAACUCUUAUCCCUCGAAUUACAUUAUUUGCCAUUUGCCUCUCUUUUUCCUCUCCCCCACUUCACCCUUGCCGUUUUAUUCGCCCUCUUUUUCCGUUCGCUUUUUCUUUCGCUUGCUUCUUGUUUGCUUGUGUUUUGGAUUGCUUGCUUGUCACGAUGGCUCAAGAUAAUACUAAAUUGUGUGACUUUGCCAAUACCAACAACAAAGAUUUUCUUAGCACUCUGAUUGCUCCUAUUACCGAUGCUGAAUCUUGUGAAAUUAAUGCUGCUUUGCUGAAUCUUGUCAUGAAAGAUCAAUUCGCUGGCCUUCCUAGUGAAGAUGCCGCUACCCAUCUAAAUAGCUUUGUGAUUUGUGCGAUAUGCAAAAGAAGAAAGAUGUGGACAAUGAUAUUGUUAAAUUGAAGCUAUUUCCGUUUUCGCUUAGAGAUCGUGCUUAAACUUGGUUUUCGUCUUUGCCUAAACAUAGUAUUGAUUCAUGGAAUAAGUGCAAAGAUGCUUUUAUCUCUAAAUAUUUUUCUCCCGCUAAGAUUAUCUCUCUUAGAAACGAUAUUAUGAAUUUUAAGCAACAUGAUCAUGAACAUGUUGCACAAUCUUGGGAGAGGAUGAAAUUAAUGAUACGUAAUUGCCCUACACAUGGUUUGAAUUUAUGGAUGAUUAUGCAAAUUUUUUAUGCCGGAUUGAAUUUUGCUUCUAGAAAUCUUUUAGAUUCGGCCGUGGGAGGCACUUUUAUGGAAAUCACUUUAGGAGAAGCUACUAAACUCCUAGAUAAUAUUAUGGUUAAUUAUUCUCAAUGGCACACUGAAAGAUCUACUAGUAAAAAGGUGAAUGCAAUUGAAGAGAUUAAUGUUUUGAGUGGAAAGAUGGAUGAACCUAUGAAGUUGUUUGCUAAUAAGAGUGUUUCUUAUGAUCCUAAUGAUAUUCCUUUGUCUUCUUUGAUUGCGAAUAAUAAUGAAUCUAUGGAUGUGAAUUUUGUUGGUAGGAAUAAUUUUGGUAACAACGCUUAUAGAGGAAACUUUAAUCCUAGGCCGUAUCCUAGUAAUUCCUCUAAUAAUUAUGGUAAUUCCUACAACAACUCUUAUGGAAAUUUUAAUAAGUUGACCUCUGAUUUUGAGACUAGUGUUAAAGAAUUUACGAUUUCUCAAAAGAAUUUCAAUGCUUUGCUUGAAGAAAAAUUGCCUAAGAUUGAUGAGUUGGCCAGGAACGUGGAUAGAAUUUCUCUUGAUUUUGAUUCUUUAAAACUUAGAUCUAUUCAACCUAAGCAUGAUAUCAAUGAGUCUCUCAAAGCUAUGAGAAUUUCCAUUGAUGAGUGCAAAGAAAGAACCGCUAGGAUGUGUGCUAAAAAAGAUUGCUUUGUGAAAGCGUGUUCUUCUAGUUUUCAUGAUAAUAAAGAUGAAGAUCUAAAAGUGAUUGAUGUGUCCCCUAUUAAAUCUUUGUUUUGCAAUAUGAAUCUUGAUAAUGAUGGGACUGGAGAUGAGUCAACUUUAGUUAAAAGGCGUCCCAAUGAUUCGGAGUUUUUAGAUCUUGAUGCAAAAAUUGGUAAAAGUGGGAUGGAAGAGGUCAAAACUUUACAUAGCAAUGAACCCACUAUUUUGGAUUUCAAGGAAUUUAAUUAUGAUAAUUGUUCUUUAAUAGAUUGUGUUUCCUUGUUGCAAUCCGUGCUAAAUUCUCCGCAGGAUUAUAGUCAAAAUAAGGCUUUUACCAAACAUAUCGUUGAUGCUUUAAUGCAAUCUUAUGAAGAAAAACUUGAAUUGGAAGUUUCUAUCCCUAGAAAACUUUAUGAUGAGUGGGAACCUACUAUUAAAAUUAAAAUUAAAGAUCAUGAAUGCUAUGCUUUGUGUGAUUUGGGUGCUAGUGUUUCCACAAUUCCAAAAACUUUGUGCAUUAUGUUAGGUUUCCGUGAAUUUGAUGAUUGUUCUUUAAACUUGCACCUUGCGGAUUCCACCAUUAAGAAACCUAUGGGAAGAAUUAAUGAUGUUCUUAUUUUUGCAAAUAGGAAUUAUGUGCCCGUAGAUUUCAUUGUCCUUGAUAUAGAUUGCAAUCCUUCAUGUCCUAUUAUUCUUGGUAGACCUUUCCUUAGAACGAUUGGUGCAAUUAUUGAUAUGAAAGAAGGGAAUAUUAGAUUCCAAUUUCCGUUAAGGAAGGGCAUGGAACACUUCCCUAGAAAGAAAAUUAAAUUACCUUAUGAAUCUAUCAUGAGAGCCACUUAUAGGUUGCAUACCAAAGAUGGCAAUACCUAGAUCUAUCCUUGCCUUUAUGCCUAGCUAGGGCGUUAAACGAUAGCGCUUGUUGGGAGGCAACCCAAUUUUAUUUUUGUUUCUUGAUUUUUGGUUCUGUUUAGUAAUAAAUCUUUGAUCUAGACUCUGGUUAGAUGUGGUUUUAUGUUUUAAUUAGUGUUUGUGCCAAGUAGAACCUAUAGGAUCUUCUUGGAUGAUAGUUAUUUGAUCUUGCUGAAAAAGUCAAAAACUUUCUGCUCACGAAAACAAUUGUUAAAAAUCACCAGAACGCGAUAAAAUACUGAUUCCAAUUGAAGUAGAUCAAUAAAAAAUUUAUCUAGGUCGUCCUAUUUUGGUAGAUUUUUCUGAGUUAUAGAAGUUUGCGUUAGAUACAGAUCACUACAGACUGUUAUGUUUUUGACAGAUUCUGUUUUUCGUGUGUUGUUUGCUUAUUUUGAUGAAUGUAUGGCUAGUAUCGGAGGUUAUGAAGCAUAGAGAAGUUGGAAUACAGUAGGUUUACCACCAAUACAAAUAUAGAAUGAGUUCAUUACAGUACCUUGAAGUGGUGUUUUGUUUUCUUUCGCUAACGGAGCUCAUGAGAUUUUCUGUUAAGUUUUGUGUUGUUAAGUUUUCAAGUUUUGGUUAAAGAUUUGAUGGAUUAUGGGAACAAGGAGUGGCAACAACCUAAGCUUGGGGAUGCCCAAGGAACCCCAAGGUAAAAUCCAAGGACAACCAAAAAGCCUAAUCUUGGGGAUGCCCUGGAAGGCAUCCCCUCUUUUGUCUUCGUCCAUCGGUAACUUUACUUGGAGCUAUGUUUUUAUUCACCACAUGAUUUGUCUUUUGCUUGGAGCGUCUUGUAUGAUUUGAAUCUUUGCUUUUUAGUUCACCACAAUCAUCCUUUUUGUACACACCUUUUGGUAGAGACACACAUUAAUCGGAAUUUAUUAGAAUACUCUAUGUGCUUCACUUAUAUCUUUUGAGCUAGAAAAUUUUGCUCUAGUGCUUCACUUAUAUCUUUUAGAGCACGGCGGUGGUUUUAUUUUAUAGAAAUAAUUGAUCUCUCAUGCUUCACUUAUAUUAUUUUGAGAGUCCUUUAGAACAGCAUGGUAAUUUGCUUUGGUUAAAAUUUUAGUCCUGAAGUAAUAGGCAUCCAAGAUAGGUAUAAUAAAAACUAUCAUAUAAAGUGCAUUGAAUACUAUGAGAAGUUUGAUACUUGAUAAUUGUUUUGAGAUAUGAAUAUGGUAAUAUUAGAGUCAUGCUAGUUGAGUAGUUGUGGAUUUGAGAAAUACUUGUGUUAAAGUUUGUGAUUCCCGUAGCAUGCACGUAUGGUGAACCGUUAUGUGAUGAAGUCGGAGCAUGAUUUAUUUAUUGAAUGUCUUCCUUAUGAGUGGCGGUCGGGGACGAGCAAUGGUCUUUUCCUACCAAUCUAUCCCCCUAGGAGCAUGCGUGUAGUACUUUGUUUUGAGAACUAAUAGAUUUUUGCAAUAAGUAUGUGAGUUCUUUAUGACUAAUGUUGACUCCAUGGAUUAUACGCACUCUCACCCUUCCACCAUUGCUAGCCUCUCUAAUGCCGCGCACCUUUCGCCGGUAUCAUACACCCACCAUUUACCUUCCUCAAAACAGCCGCCAUACCUACCUAUUAUGGCAUUUCCAUAGCCAUUCCAAGAUAUAUUGCCAUGCAACUUACCACCGUUCCGUUUAUUAUGACACGCUUGAUCAUUGUCAUAUUGCUUUGCACGAUCAUGUAGUUGACAUCGUAUUUGUGGAAAAGCCACCAUUCAUAAUUCUUUCAUACAUGUCACUCUUGAUUCAUUGCAUAUCCCUGUACCCCGCCGGAGGCAUUCACAUAGAGUCAUAUUUUGUUCUAAGUAUUGAGUUGUAAUUUUUGAGUUGUAAGUAAAUAAAAGUGUGAUGAUCAUCAUUAUUAGAGCAUUGUCCUAUGUGAGGAAAGGAUGAUGGAGACUAUGAUUCCCCCACAAGUCGGGAUGAGACUCCGGACAAAAUAAAAAAAAAGAGAAAGAAAAGAGGCCAUAAAGAAAAAGAGAAGAAGGCCCAAAAAAAUGAGAGAAAAAGAGAGAAGGGACAAUGCUACUAUCCUUUUACCACACUUGUGCUUCAAAGUAACACCAUGAUCUUCAUGAUAGAGAGUCUCCUAUGUUGUCACUUUCAUAUACUAGUGGGAAUUUUACAUUAUAGAACUUGGCUUGUAUAUUCCAAUGAUGGGCUUCCUUAAAAUGCCCUAGGUCUUCGCGAGCAAGCGAGUUGGAUGCACACCCACUUAGUUUCUUUCGUUGAGCUUUCAUACACUUAUAGCUCUUGUGCAUCCGUUGCAUGGCAAUCCCUACUCACUCACAUUAAUAUCUAUUAAUGGGCAUCUCCAUAGCCCGUUGAUACGCCUAGUCGAUGUGAGACUAUCUUCUCCUUUUUGUCUUCUCCAGAACCACCAUUCUAUUCCACCUAUAGUGCUAUGUCCAUGGCUCACGCUCAUGUAUUGCGUGAAGAUUGAAGAAGUUUGAGAACAUUAAAAGUAUGAGACAAUUGCUUGGCUUGUCAUCGGGGUUGUGCAUGAUUAAAUACUUUGUGUGGUGAAGAUAGAGCAGCCAGACUAUAUGAUUUUGUAGGGAUAACUUUCUUUGGCCAUGUUAUUUUGAGAAGACAUGAUUGCUUUGUUAGUAUGCUUGAAGUAUUAUUAUUUUUAUGUCAAUAUUAAACUUUUAUCUUGAAUCUUUCAGAUCUGAACAUUCAUGCCACAAUAAAGAAAAUUACAUUGAGAACUAUGCUAGGGAGCAUUCCACAUCAAAAAUUCUGUUUUUAUCAUUUACCUACUCAAGGACGAGCAGGAUUAAGCUUGCGGAUGCUUGGUACGUCUUCAACGUAUCUAUAAUUUUUUUAUUGUUCCAUGCUAUUAUAUAUUCUGUUUUGGAUAUUUAAUGGGAAAAUUGUUGUUUUUUUCCCUAUUUCAGUGUUUCACAGAAAAGGAAUAUCAAACGGAGUCCAAACGGAAUGAAACCUUCGGGAGAGUUAUUUUUGGAACAAACGUGAUCAAGAGGACUUGGAGUGGACGUCAAGAAACGAACGAGGAGGCCACGAGGCAAGGAGGCGCGCCUGCCCCUGGGUGCGCCCCCACCCUCGUGGGCCCCUCGUGGCUCCACCGACCUACUUCUUUUGCCUAUAUAUACUCAUAUACCCUGAAAACAUCCAGGAGCACCACGAAACCCUAUUUCCACCGCCGCAACCUUCUGUACCCGUGAGAUCCCAUCUUGGGGCCUUUUCCGGCGCUCCGCCGGAGGGGGCAUCGAUCACGGAGGGCUUCUACAUCAACACCAUAGCCUCUCCGAUGAUGUGUGAGUAGUUUACCACAGACCUUCGGGUCCAUAGUUAUUAGCUAGAUGGCUCCUUCUCUCUCUUUGGAUCUCAAUACAAAGUUCUCCUCAAUCUUCUUGGAGAUCUAUUCGAUGUAACUCUUUUUGCGGUGUAUUUGUCGAGAUCCGAUAAAUUGUGGGUUUAUGAUCAAGAUUAUCUAUGGACAAUAUUUGAAAAUUCUCUGAAUUCUUUAUGUAUGAUUGGUUAUCUUUGCAAGUCUCUUCGAAUUAUCAGUUUGGUUUGGCCUACUAGAUUGAUCUUUCUUGCAAUGGGAGAAGUGCUUAGCUUUGGGUUCAAUCUUGCGUUGCUCGAUCCUAGUGACAGAAGGGGAAACGACAUGUAUUAUAUUGUUGCCAGCGAGGAUAAAAAGAUGGGGUUUAUAUCAUAUUGCUUGAGUUUAUCCCUCUACAUCAUGUCAUCUUGCCUAAUGCGUUACUCUGUUCUUAUGAACUUAAUACUCUAGAUGCAAGCUGGAUAGCGGUCGAUGUGUGGAGUAAUAGUAGUAGAUGCAGGCAAGAGUCGGUGUACUUGUUGCGGACGUGAUGCCUAUGUACAUGAUCAUGCCUAGAUAUUCUCAUAAUUAUGCACUCUUCUAUCAAUUGCUCGACAGUAAUUUGUUCACCCACCGUAAUACUGAUGCUAUCUUGAGAGAAGCCACUAGUGAAACCUAUGGCCCCCGGGUCUAUUUUCCAACAUAUAAGUUUCCAAUCUAUUUUUACUUUGAAAUCUUAACUUUUGAUCUUUAUCAUAAAAAUACCAAAAAUAUUAUCUUAUCAUCUCUAUCAGAUCUCACUUUUGCAAGUGGCCGUGAAGGGAUUUACAACCCCUUUAUCGCGUUAGUUGCAAGGUUCUUAUUUGUUUGUGUAGGUACGUGGGACUUGCGUGUGGCCUCCUACUGGAUUGAUACCUUGGUUCUCAAAAACUGAGGGAAAUACAUACGCUACUUUGCUGCAUCACCCUUUCCUCUUCAAGGGAAAACCAAUGCAUGCUCAAGAGGUAGCGUUAAUGUAGGUGAUUAUGUGUUGCUAUUCAACUCUCGUUUAAGAUUUUUUGCAGGAAAGCUUACCUCUAGAUGGGAAGGUCCUUACAUUAUCGAGGAGGUCUAUCGUUCCGGUGCCAUAAAAAUCAAUAAUUUCGAAGGCACAAAUCCGAAGGUGGUAAAUGGUCAAAGAAUCAAACAUUAUAUCUCAGGUAAUCCCAUAAAUGUUGAAACUAAUGUUAUUGAAACCGUAACCCCGGAGGAGUACAUAAGGCACACCUUCCAGAACGUUUCAGACUCCGAAAAGGAAUAAGUAUGAGGUACGGUAAGUAAACCGACUCCAAAACAGUUCUAAUGGCAGUUUUUCUCCGUUUUGGAUUAUUUAAGAAAAUAGGAAAAUAACAAGUAGUCCGGGAAGGACACGAGGCGUCCACGAGGGUGGAGGGCGCGCCCCCCUUCCUCGUGGGCAUCUCGUGUGCUCUCUGGAAUCCGUUUUCUUGCACGAUACUUCUUUUGGUCGGUAAAAAUUCAUUAUAUAAUCUCCCGAAGGUUUUGACCCUCGUAUCACGCAAAUAUCCUCAGUUUUUGUUUCGAGCUGUUUUCUGCCAGAGUUGUCAAGGCCAUGCAUCAUGUUGUCCCCCUCCUCCAACAAUGAGGUCAACGAUGCUUGUCUAAUGAAGAUAGAGCUGAAGAGAGAAGAACCCGGGGAGAUCAACAAGGAUGAGGGGAUCAAGAAGGCCAUGGAGGAUCGAGCUCCGGUAGCAGAAGAAGAAGACAUCCUUCAACCUCAUUACGAUCUUCUUACCCCAAUGGAGAUUGAAGCUUUCAAGAUGAUUGAGUUAGCUCGUAUACAAAACAAGUAUCUCACUCAUGAAAAUAUUUUGUUGAAGGAGGAUAUCAUCGCCCCCAAGGGCAUUAUCCGCAAAUUGGAGGAUCUCCUACGCUCGAUGUGCGACUAUCCAUCAUCACCACCAUCUUCUUCACCAGCAAAGGAGAACUGAGUAUCUAGUAUGGGCACUCCCCUUGGCAACCGCCAUGCUUGGGGGAGGUGCCCCGGUAUCAUAUCACCAGCACACUUUUAUCUUUACCGUUUUUCUUAGUUUGAUCCUUUUGGUAAUAUCUUCAUCUAGUAGAAUAAAGUUUUAGUAUGAUUUAGUUUUGAGUUUUGCUCUAUGAUCCUUCUAUGUAAUCAAGUCCGUGAGCUAUACAUAAUAAAGAUUAGUUUUGAAUCAAGGGCUUGAUUAUCUUGCUAUGAUCUUGAGGGAAUAAAAGAAAAAGAAAGAAUAAAAAGAAAUAAAGAGAUCAUAUUGAUCUUAUGGAGAGUAAUGACUUCACAUAUAAAGAGUUGAUGAAUAAAAGUUAUUGAGAGUUGACAAAGAUAGUUUUGGUCAUCGUUGCAAUUAAUAGGAAGUAAUAAAGAAAGAGAGGUUUUCACAUAUAAAUAUACUAUCUUGGACAUCUUUUAUGAUUGUGAUCACUCAUUAAAAUAUGACAUGCUAAAGAGUUGAUGUUGGACAAGGAGGCAACGUAAUGGGUUAUGUUAUCUUAUAUCCGAAAUAAAGUAUAUUGUCAUGGAUCAUCCAACAUGUUGAGCUUGCUUUUCCCCCUCAUGCUAGCCAAAUUCUUUGCACCAAGUAGAGAUACUACUUGUGCUUCCAAAUAUCCUUAAACCCAGUUUUGCCAUGAGAGUCCACUAUAUCUACCUAUGGAUUGAAUUAGAUCCUUCAAGUAAGUUGUCAUCAUUGCAUGCAAUAAAAAUUGCUCUCUAAAUAUGUAUGAUUUAUUAGUGUGGAGAAAAUAAUCUUUAUACGAUCUUGUGAUGUGGAAGAAAUAAAAGCGACGGACUGCAUAAUAAAGGUCCAUAUCACAAGUGGCAAUAUAAAGUGACGUUCUUUCGCAUUAAGAUUUUGUGCAUCCAACCAUAAAAGCACAUGACAACGUCUGCUUCCCUCUACGAAGGGUCUAUCUUUUUCUUGUCUUAUACCUUAUAUAAGAGUCAUGGUGAUCUUCACCUUUCCUUUCUACAUUUUAUCCUUUGGCAAGCACAUUGUGUUGGAAAGAUCCUGACAUAUAUAUCCAAUUGGAUGCAAGUUAGCAUGAAUUAUUAUUGUUGACAUUACCCUUGAGGUAAAAGGUUGGGAGGCAACACUAUAAGCCCCUAUCUUUCUCUGUGUCCGAUUAAAACUCCAUACCCAUAAGUAUUGCGUGAGUGUUAGCAAUUGUGAAAGACUAAAUGAUAGUUGAGUAUGUGGACUUGCUGAAAAGCUCUUAUAUUGACUCUUUCCACUACAAAAAAAUACACUUCCGUGAUGAUACGUGUUUGUCACAGUAGGUCACGUUUUCUGUCAUGCAUGUACAUCCAUGACAAAUUUAUGACAGAAUCAAGAUAGUCAUACCUGUGCUAUCGUAGAAGUGUUCCAUGACAUUGCCAAAAUUAUUAUCACGGAAGUGUCCACAUCCAUGACGAUAAAUCGCGCGUCACAGAAGUGCUUUCGUCAAGGGUGACCAACACGUGGCAUCCACCGUAACGGAACGCUGUUAAGCUAUCGGGUCGGAUUUUGGAUCCGAUAACCCAUUAACAGCCACGACCAAUGCCGAUUUUCCACGUGUAAAAUUCCCAUUGGCUGACGGAUCCACGUGUCAGCUCCGCGUUGGCACAGGUGUCACUCAUCCAACGGUCGAGAUGGGCCUAUGAUAUGUUGACACCUGGACCGGCCCAAAAGUGGCCCACAAAGUUUAAAUGGGCCGGCCCAACCGAAGGCCCAUAAGAUUUAGCGGACCAUAAUGGGCCAGCCCAGCUAAAGGCCCACAAAAUUUAGCGGACCAUAAUGGGCCGGCCCAGCUAAAGGCCCACAUGAUUUUGCAGACCAUAAUGGGCCGGCCCAGCUAAAGGCCCACAAGAUUUUGUGGACCACAAUGGGCCGGCCCAGCUAAAGGCCCACAAGAUUCUGCAGACCAUAAUGGGCCGACCCAGCUAAAGGCCCAACAUUCUCUGUCAAAUCGGCCCAUCAACGGCCUGUCCUAAACUUGUCAUCAACGCGGCCCAUGGUCACUUCUGGCCCGUUAACAGUCCGCUAAGCAAUUGGGCCGAAUUACGGCCCGAUGUAUUUCCGGCCUGUUAAAGGUCCGGCUUCAUUUGGGCCCAUUUACAGGCCAUCAAAACUUUUGGCCCAUAAACGACCGUGAAGGAUUUGGGUCAUAUUCGGCCAUGUCUGACAUUCGGCCUGUUAGAGGCCCACUAUAGCUUUGGGCCACUUUCGGCCUGUUGUCAUUUUCGGCCUGUUAACGCCGUACGUAAACCAUGGGCCAUAUGUGGCCCAACGUCAUAUCGGGCCCAUUAACGGCCCAUAUAAAAAUGACGAUAAUCUAGCCCGAUCGAAGUUCCGGCCUAUUAAAGCCCCGUGUAUUAGGUCGGCGCAUUUACGGCCCGUCCGAAUUUCGGCCUGUCAAAGAUCCGCAUCGUAAAUGGGCCCAAUCUCACUUUCGGUCUAUUAAAGGCCCAUGUUUUUUAUGGGCUCGAGAUAUUUACACCUGUAAACGGCCUAUUUUUACUGAGGGCCCAAAUUAUGUUUAGGCCUGUUAAAGGCCCACUAUGGGCACAGGCCUACCAGAAAAAUAUGAAAGCUUAUGCUGAUUUAGGCCCAGAUAUUUUUAGCGGGCUACAUGCCAAUUUCAGCCCGUAAUCGUUUUUAGCCCAAUUGGAAUGGGCCCGACGAAUGUUGGCAUGUUGGGCUCCUACGAAGCUUUCGGCCGAAUACAUUACUAAGAUAAACCUACACUAUACAAAAAUAGCGUCGUAAUUACUACAGCCUGAGGCAGCAUCAUAAAUGUUGUAUCACAACAAAAUAAAUUCCAACCAUACAACAAAAGGCCUGUUGGCAUAAAGUUUACAGUCCUUCCAGAUAAAAGCACCAUCAUAUGUAUAGAAGCACAGAUCAUUUGACCUGAGUGCUAAUGUUUCAGGCUGUAGAAUCUGAUGGAGCAGCAUGAUCUCCACCAUUUUUCCGCCAUUGCUCUUGAACAACGAAGCGAAUGUCUGAUAGUCUGGUUUCAAAACCAUUCAUAUCUUGACGACAUUUCUCAACCACUAUUCUUGUUUCCCAAACAACAUCCAUUAUGGAUUGGACUUGUGUCUGGAGCGCAGAUAUAUCACUCUGUCUAGCAGGAAGAUUAUGUUCAGUAGGCGAUUUGGACGAGGUUACCUUGACAACCAACCCAGAAUUACGCAGGAAGGUGCUUUUUGCACUGUUAGUGGAGAGAUACUGACGCACUGCAGCAAGAGGUGACAUUGUGCCUGUAGUAGCCUCGUCACCUUCAGGUGGUUGUGGCUGUUCAAUCAUUUGUUCCAUAGCUUCCUGAAAGUUUGAACUUGUAGAUUAGUGUACCAGAUAAGUUACUAAUGAGACAAAAACAAACAAAGUAGGUUAAACGUUUAUACAUAACUUAUUUUGGUGAACUACUGUAAUACAUUAGCAUGUAUUGUAGUGCCAACUACAUAAUAAAAUCACUUUCGGAACAUAUGUCCAUGUAGCAUGCCUACUGUAUUGUCUAUUUCCUCACAUUCGUUGACAUCUAAGGAUAAAGAGACAUGGUUUAAAGUAGGAUGAACAUAGUAUGACAACAUUCAUAUCAUGGGCAAACAGAUAUAAAACAAACAGGCUAUUUUAUCAUUGUGUGCGCACAUGAACAUAACAACUAGAUUACAGAUCAAGACCAAAAGAAUAUCCUUCAUCUCUUUUAAACCAUGUAAGGUGAAAUGAUACGUUAAGACAACUGUGAAUAAAGGUGAACAGAGUAACUGACAUUGGCUGCAAACCAAGUAGUUAAACGAACACAUCACAGUACCAAUUAGUUCAAGGCAGGAGGAGUAAGGACUUACAACAGCGGCUUGAACUGGUGUGCUCAUGCCCUUCAUCUUGUUGGUGUGGCAAUCCUUGAAGAUUUGCAUUGCAUUCGGUUCAGGUUCUUUUUGGUCCGCACGGGCUUUCCUCUGUAUUUGGAACAAGUCAAUAUAGGUACGAUAAUAUGGCACAAAAAAAGAAGGGAGUAGCAGCUAUUUACAAGAGCCUCGCAGUGUGCAAUAUAGCUACGAGAUCCUAUUGUCUGUUGGAAUUUCACUUUAGAACGGUUGGUUUUGUUCUUCAAACAGUUAGCCUAGAAGAAGAUACACUUGUAAGGCACAUACAUAAAUACAAGUUCAAUAUGUGGUCUGAUCAAAUACAUAUAGCCUACCUGAUACUUUGGAUCAGACCAGUGUUUAACGAGGGCUGUCCAGUCUUCAUCUGUAAUAUAUUCCACUGGAGAUGUUUGGGUGAUUUCAUUGUUAGCCUUGCCUUCAAAGUGAGAUUUUCUAAGGUGGUACUGAUACUGUCGCAGAGCAGACUGAAAAACAUGAGUGCAUUCUUGUUUAGUUGCAUCAUCUUUCAGAUCCAACUUGAACCUCAUCUGUUGAAAAAAGAAUGUGAGUCUUAUUAGGAGGAAGCUACAAAGUAUGGGACAGUGCAAGACAAUAUUACUAAUUGCGAUGAAUAACAUUACUUACGGAUAAAUGGUCAAGGAAGGUGUUAAACUGGGUAUUGUCUUUCUCAUUCCUGUACUGGAUCCACGUUGGGAGGAUACGUGCAUGACACCUAACGGCAACGGCUGCCUCUGAUACUAACUUGGCUGACUCUGUAGCAUCAUGUGGCCUUUUAAAACCUGCCUCAAAAUGGAUCUCCAUUCUUCCUCCUUUAGAUUUUGUUAAUCUGUCAAGCAUUAUCCCUGAUGUCUGUUUCCGCUUGUGCCGUGGUGCUAGUUCAACAACGAAUAUGGAAAGUGUUAGUGUACAUCAAACUGUGAGAGUACAUAUAAAGGAGCAUGCAACUGCAACUUGACUCGGUCAGGUGCCGUCUUGGUGUUGAUGCUCAUGAGGUUCAUCUGAUCUUGCCAAGUCCUGUUGUGUCAGCAGUGCUUCGGAAGUAGUGUUAGGUGUGAAGGCAGCUUGGGAACUGGCCAGUUCCGGAGCAAACGAACGAGUAACUGGUUGAGAUGCUGGUACAGUUGAAGCGGAUGCUGCAGCUUGUGGAGCAGGUGAUACUGUGUUUGUAGAUUUAGCCGGUGGACUUGGACCUUCUACUGCACUAUAAGUACCAGCAGAAUCUCGACGGCAGAACCUUUUCCGUUUCACCCGACGAGUAACAGCACUCCCUACUAUAUUAUUUUCCUUGCUCUUUUUUGACUUUGCCAUGUCAAGCUGUACCCACAACACAAAAGAAUAAAAUCACUCUUCAGAACUCAUUGAUGCAUGAUACAGACAAGCAAUACUUUGAUGUAAGACAACCGUAUGAGGAUGGAAUAUGUAAGAAAAACAGGACGGUAUGACAUAUUCACAGCUACGAUGUGCAAACUAAGUAGAAGGAUUUUCAAGAAAAUAGAAGUAAUGCAAGCUAGACACCAUAUGAAAGAUGCAACCAAUAUUACUCUGCCAAGUUAAAAGUGUCUUGUCAUAAGUGGCAAUUCGAAAAAUUAGAAGCAGUACAACAUAGAAAUCAAUGCAAGAUGAAACCACUAUCAAACUGCCAUGUUAAAAGCUUCCAAUCAUGAGUGACUGAUGCGGGAUACACAACAGUAGUACUUUGAUGUAAGAACAUGGUAUGAUAGAUAGAUGCAGUGUAUUCUAGACACAGAAAGCCAUGUCAUAUGCACAUGUAUAACGUAUGAACUCAGCACGUGCAACUUAAUCAAAAUAGAAGAAAUACAGGCUAGACAACAUAUGCAACAUGAAACCAAUUAUCACACUGUCAACUUAGAGCAAGCACCUGCGAUGGUGGAGUAUGGAAGAUGAACUCAUCAUGUAGACUUGGGACUUCAACUUCAUUAGCAGUAGCAGUGGCAAAUCUAGAGAGUCCCUGUUUGCGUCAGUCCGGAGGACCACCAACAUCCCCUAACUUACUAUUUUCCUUCCUAUUUUCUGAUAUUGCCUUAUGAAGUCAAACCACAAGAAGAUGAAUAAAAUUAGCUCUGCAUAACUGGUUGAUGCAUGAUACAGACGAACACUACUUUGAUGUAAGGCAAGCGCAAGAUAGGAGGAUGGAAUAUAUACAAAAAAAGACAGCGUUUCAUAUUCACACGUACGAUAGGAGGAUGGAAUAUGUAUGAAAAACAGUAAGCGGAAGGCAUUUCAACAAAAUUAGAAGAAAUGAAAGCUAGGCACCAUAUGAACAUGCAACCAAUAUCACUCUAUCAGGUAAAAAGUGUCUCGUCGUAAGUGCCAUUUCAAGAAAUUAGAAGCAGUACAAGCUAGAAGACAAUGCAAGAUGCAACCUAUAUCACAGUCCCAAGUUAAAUGUGUCUUAUGGGUAAGUGAUCGUUGCAGGUAUAAGUUGUACGCUGCGCAGAUGCAAUUCAACAUAAUCAGAAGCAAUACAAACUAGACAUCAUACGGAAAACGCAACCACGUAUAAUAGUUCCAAGUAAGAGCAAGCACCUGUGAUGGUGGAGUAGGGGAGAUGUGCUCAUCAUGUACACGUAUGUUCUAGAAACAGGAACAUGUGUCAUAUUCACAGGCAUUAUGUGUAAAGUAAGCAGAUGCAAUUAAAGUUAGAAGCAAUACAAGCUAGACAUCAUACGCAACAUGCAAUGACAUAUAAUAGUGUCAAGUUAGAGCAAGCACCUAUGAUGGUGGAGUAGGGGAGAUGUGCUCAUCAUCUACACAGCUACCUUGACUGUCCAGCCUUGUGUUGUCUUGCGAAUCUUGUUGGGAGGAUGGCGGAGUAGAAUCUGUAGAGACCCCCUGUUUGAGUUGCUCCGAAGGACCACCAUCAUCCACUGCCGGACUAAUUUCCUUCAGCUGUAAUGAUUUUGCAUUGUGAAGUCAAACCGAUAAGAAAAAGGAAUAUGAUUCGCUCUUCAGAACUCAUUCAUGCAUGAUACUGACGAACACUACUCGGAUGAAAGGCAAACACAUGAUGCGAGGAUGGAAUAUGUAUGAAAAACAGGACGGUGUGACAUAUUCACACCUAUGAUGUGGUAACUAAGCAGAAGGCAUUUCAACAAAUUAGAAGCACUGCAAGCUAGACACCAUAUGAAAGAUGCAACCAAUAUCACUCUGCCAAGUUUAAACUGUAUGGCGUUUCAACAAAUUAGAAGCAGUACAUGCUAGAAAUCAUAUGCAAGACACAACCAAUAUCACAGCGGCGACUUAAAUGUGCCUUAUCAUAAGUGACUGAUGCGGGAUAUGCAAGAAUAGUAGUCUGAUGUAGAAACAGGAACACAUGUCAUAUUCACAGGCAUUAUGAGUAAAGUAAGCAGAUGCAAUUCAACAAAGUUAGAAGCAAUACAAGCUAGACAUCAUAUGCAAUAUGCAACCACAUAUAAUUGUGCCAAGUUAGAGCAAGCACCUGUGAUGGUGGAGUAGGGGAGAUGUGCUCAUCAUCUACACAGCUAUGUUGACUGUCUAGCCUUGCGUUGUUUUGCGAAUCUUGUUGGGAGGAUGGUGGAGUAGAAUCUGUAGAGAACCUCCGUUUCAGUUGCUCGGAAGGACCACCAUCAUCCAAUUCCUUGCCAAUUUCCUUCACCUUUAUUGAUUUUGCAUUGUGAGGUCAUACCGACAAGAAAAAGGAAUAUCAUUCGCUCUUCAGAACUCAUUCAUGCAUGAUACUGAUGAACACUACUCUGAUGAAAGGCAAAGUCAUGAUACGAGGAUGGAAUAUGUACGAAAAAAUGGACGGCUUGACAUAUUCACACCUAUGAUGUGGUAACUAAGCAGAAGGCACUUCAACAAAUUAGAAACACUGCAAGACACCAUGUGGAAGGUGCAAUCAAUAUCACUCUGCCAAGUUAAAACUGUCUCGUCAUAGGUGGCGUUCAUCAAACUAGAAGCAAUACAUGCUAGAAAUCAUAUUCAAGACGCAAACCAAUAUCACACUGCCAACUUAAAGGUGUCCCAUCAUAAGUGACUGAUGCAGGAUACACAAGAAGAGUAGUUUCAUGUAAGAACAUGGUGUGAUAGACAGAUAUAGUAUGUACCAAAAACAGGAAAGCGUGUCAUAUUCACAUGUAUCAUGUGUAAGCUAAGCAGAUGCAGUUUACACUAAUUAGGAGCAAUACGAGCUAGACACCAUAUGCAACAUGCAACCAGAUAUCACACUGCCAAGUUAGAGCAAGCACCUUGGAUGGUGGAGUAGGGGAGCGGAGACUUGGACCUUGUAAUUCACUAUCAGUACAAGGAGAAUCGGUACAGAUGCUCCGUUUACGUUCCUGCAGAGGACCACCAUCAUCGCCUUCCUUACUCUUUUCCUUCCUCUUUCUUGAUUUUGCCUUGUCAAGUCAAACCCACAAGAAAAAGGAAUAAAAUUUGCUCUUCAGAACUCAUUGAUGCAUGAUACGGACGAACACUACUUUCAUGUAAGGCAGCCGCAUGAUAGUAGGAUGGAAUAUGUAUGAAAAACAGGACGGCGUGACAUAUUGACAUGUAUGAUGUAUAAAGUGUAAACUAAGCACAAGGUGCUUGAACUUGUUAGAAUCGAUGCAAGCUACAAACCAUAUGAAAGAUGAAACCAAUAUCACUCUGCCAAAUUAAAAGGGUGCCCUAACAAAUGUAUUUGACCAAAUUAGAAGCAAUACAUGGCAACAGGCUAGAAAUAAUAUGCAAUAUGCAACGAAUAAAGGUGACUCAUCGUAAGUGAUUGAUGCAGGAUGCAGAAGAGAGGUAGUUUCAUGUAAGAACAAGGUUAACACAUAGAUGUAGUGUGUACCAAAAAUAGGAAGGCAUGUCAUAUUCACAGGUAUAGUGUGUAAACUAAGCAGAUUCAAUUUACCCUAAUUAGAAGCAUUACAAGCUAGACACCGUAUGCAACAUGCAACCACAUAUCACACUGCGAAGUUAGAGCAAGCACCUGUGAUGGUGGUGUACGGGAAGUGCGGUCUUCAGGUACAGAGCUACGUUCAAUAUCUUCAUUUAGGCUUGCUGUUUCUUGAGAAUCAUGUGGAGAGGAUGAAAUUGCAUUCUUUAUAAGAGUAUUGCGUCUCAUAUUAACCCAUGCGCGUGACUGUCUCAUCAUAAGUGAUAGACGCAGGAUACACAAGAACAGUAGUUUGAUGUAAGAACAUGGUGUGAUAGGCAGAUGUAGUAUGUACCAAAAACAGGAAGGCGUGUCAUAUUCACAUGUAUAAUGUGUAAGCUAAGGAGAUGCAAUUUAACAAAUUAGGAGCAUUGAUGAGGGAUGCACAAGAAAAGUAGUUUGAUGUAAGAACAUGGUUAAUAGAAAGACGUAGUAUGUACCAAAAACAGGAAGGCAUGUCAUAUUCACAGGUAUAAUGUGUUAACUAAGCAGAUGCAAUUUACCCUAAUUAGAAGCAUUACAAGGUAGACACCAUAUGCAACAUGCAACCACAUAUCACACUGCCAAGUAAGAGCAAGCACCUGCGAUGGUGGUGUGGGGGAAUUGCGGUGAUCAACUAGAGAGCUACGUUGACUAUCUUCAUUUAGCCUUGCUGUUUCUUGAGAAUCAUGUGGGGAGGAUGACACUGCACUCUUUAAACGAGUAGGGCGUCUCACAGUAACCCACUCGGGUGACUGUCUCAUCAUAAGUGAUUGACGAGGGAUACAAAAGAGCAUUAGUUUGAUGUACGAACAUGGUUAAUAGACAUAUGUAGUAUGUAUCAAAAACAGGAAGGCAUGUCAUUAUCAAAGGUAUAAUGUGUAAAGUAAGCAGAUGCAAUUUAACCAAAUUGGAAGCAAUACAAGCUAGACACCAUAUGCAACAUGCAACCACAUUUGACAGCGCGAAGUUAAAGCAAGCACCUGGGAUGGUUGUGUGUGGCAAUUGAGAUCAUCAACUGCAGAGCUACGUUUACUGUCUCCAACUGCUGACACUGCACCCAUUAGAGCGCUGAAACGCUUAGUGCUUAUCUUCGAAUUACACUGGAGCGACUUCCGUCUUUUCUUUUCUGCAUUCAUCAACACUGCGUCAGAGUCUGAAAUACCCAUGCAUAAAAAAACAAUAGUGUGAGUAUGGGUGAAGUGUGUGUACAAUUAGUACAGUGUAAAGGUAGGAGAUAGCAGGUCGGUGACAAAUAAAUGACGGGAGACAUAUGAUAGCUCUACAACAUGCAUGGCACACUAAAUUACUGUAGGAUUCUAUGAAAAUAACAGUCGACUGAAAGCAAAUAGGUCAGUCCAUUUUUUCUGCACCGUCCGAUGUACAAAGAACGGGCAGAUCGCCUUCAUCUACCUCCAGCCAGUCAGUGUUGACGAUCUUCCUCGAAAUGCCAGCGACCACCGGGCCAGUAUUCCUCCCCUGCCUGCGCCCUCCCCUCGACCUCACCGCACCGCUGUGCUUGGCACCGCCCCCCGGCCAUCCAUUGAAGCCCCGCCGACCUCCAGAUCGGGCGCAAGCAGCUCCUGCACCCCACACCCCUAUGAUAGACACCGAUGCGCCGCUUCCCCGGGGAACAGGCGGACUAGGUGCUCCGCGCGCCUAAGCGGGUGCUGCUUAUUUUAAUUGCGGUUCGACUGACCCUGAAUUGAAAUCCAGGCGGGCUACUGACCUCUAGGAAAGGUGAAAUAUUAAAAGGGAGGAAACCUUGUGCAUUUAGUAUCACGAAGAAGAUGCAGUAAGAAGCGCUCAACUGGUUUCUUUCGUGGGAUGAAUACGGUGUGAGCGGAGACGUAAGAUUUGCACGAAUAAGGGACGAUGAGUACCUCUUUCUGCUGGCAGUGUUGUGUCCUCCUUCUCUUUUUCCGAUGAUCUUCUUGUUGUUCGCCGGAAACCAGAAGUUGUGGAGGACGGUGCAGCCUUGGACGAACCCAUGGCCAAGUUGUUGAGUGUGGUGCGGUGGCCGUCUGUCGGCGCCGGGGAACAGCUCCGGUGUGGUGGACGGUUGCGAUAGUGGAGCCGCAACAGUGAGGCGCAGGACGGCGUGGUCGGAGUUAUGGGGUGGAGGACGGAGGAGGCUGGGGUUUCGUUGCUGGUGGAGAGGGCGUUUUCGCGCCCACGGAGUAUGAAUGGGGAAACGGAGGGAGGCGGGGAACUAAGGGGGAACAAUCUUUCGGUUUGAGACUAGCUUGUUUGAAAUUUGGGGAAAGUUACAAACUUUGCCCCCAUCUAAAAUUUCGGACAAAUUGCGGGUUGGGGUUAGGACAGUCAUGUCAGGUGUCCCAAAUGCGGGCGGGAUAGAUUUCGGCCGAGCGCAUGGGUAGGCGCCCACGGCGUAUGAAUGCUUCUCGGAGGCAGUUGUGACUGGCGUCUUGGUGAAGUUACAAACCUACCCCGGUUUAGACCUUUGGACAUCGGGCCGAUAGGCUACACGGGCCAGAGUCAGGACAGUAAUUUCCUACCACCAAAACAUUAGUCUCGCGCGGUUUCGGGUGACCAGAGGCCUAUUUGGCGCUUCAUUCAAUAUUUGGUUGCAGAAGCAUUAACCUUUUCGGUUCUCUUGAAUUGAACUUUCAGGAUUUGUCAAACUUCACAAAUCUUUACUCUUGAAAAUCCUAAAGCUACGAUUAUUUUGGAAUGGAGGGGGUACAUUUGAAUAUACAUUGUACACGAGUAUAUAUUAAAAAAUAUGCAACUUACCUCAGUUCAUGCAUGGUUCCAGAUAUAAUCUCCUCGGUUGCAAAAAAAAGAGUUAGAUAUGCGUAUGAAUAUAUAUAGCAUGUUCAAACUCACAACAAAGAUUGAUGCCCCCUUUUACAUCUGAUUUACAAAUGCCAUUAUCUCGGGUUCAAAUAGAUGAAUUCACUUCCAAUGAAUUCGAAUCUUCGAAACCCCCUUUAUGUUGAAUUCGACAUGUAUUCUAUUUCGUAGCUAGCAAUUUGGAAUGUAUCCAUGCAAGUGACAAAUGUAUAAAGUGCUUCACACUAACACAUGGAGUGCACUAAUUAAUGUUUAUAUAUGAAUUGCAAAAGCAUCCAUUGCCUGUAUUUCAAACCGCUCUCACUCUAUGGAUCGAUAAUAUAAAAUAAACACAUGCACAUGCUAGAAUUCAAUAGAGUAUGGGUGUCUGAUAGACCGAUUUUCGUCCAUAUGCAAUUUGCAAAAUUCAUGAUCUCAUCCAAAAAUAAUAAUGCCAUUUAUAUUUUAAUUUAAUGCGUAGAACCGCCUUUUACACGUAGAUGCACUAUGCCUCGCCCCGUUCUCACAAACGCGUUAUAUAUCUCUCUAUCUAACGCGUAAGUGCACACACUUUAUAUGCAUCGGCAUUUCUCUUUCACACAUGCUCACAAUCUCUCUCAGGGUGUCGGGGUGUCUCAUGCACAUGCUCUCUCUGUUUCUCUCUCUCUCUCUCUCUUUCUGACUACUAUGUACCACUCUUUUCACUAAUCUCAGUUGGAAAACACUAUUUCUCUCACAUGCAUAUAUACACAUGCACGGUCUCUACUAGCCCUCUAUACGCACAUAUAUGUGCCUACGUGUCUCCCGCACGCACAUUAUCUUUAGGCCUCUCUCGCACACAUUGCCCCCCCUGACACACCUCUCUCUUAGUAGUUGGCAGAUAUGAUUUCAUCAUAUCAUUCGGUAGGAUACCCCUGGCUGUUAGGCUGGAUGGUAAUACGAGGCAAAGUUUUACCCUAGUUCGGAUCGGACCCUUGUAGUUGAAGAAAGAGCCUACUCCUGGUACUGUAUAUUAGUGAUAGGGGUGUGUACAAAGUACAUGUGAAUACCAGGCAUUGUGCGUGUGUGUAUACUAUCGACGAACUAGCCCCCAAGCUUGUAUAACAUACUAAGGGCCUAGGGUUACAAAUCAUAUAUAGUCGGCUUAUCACCAGUGGGGAUAGAGUCCUCCGCGACUCUGGUAGCUUCGUGUUGUACGCCGAGUCCUCCACAUGGGUCUUCGUAUAACACGUCUCGGUCCAACCUAUAUGUGGCGCAGGAUGGAACCGACCCAUGAGUCUUCAUGUUGACCCACCACAACUAGAAAUUAUGUGCCCACCACACCACACACGCAAUCGGCCACUAAGAAAAUAAGCAUAUACAAUAGUACAACUGUAUCUAGCUCACGAUACGUCUCCAUAUUUUGUUGUUGACACUGACGGACUUUGCAUUUGAUGCGUGCUCCGUAUUUUGUUGACAACACUUACGGUCAUUGUAUUUGAAGCGAAAGCACGAUAUGGUCACUGGACUUCAGAAUAAGCUCAUCACGGUCACCACAUACAUUUUGUCGUGCUAACCAACAUGUGGUUGGAUGGUUAGAGGACAGUGGUUUCUCGAGCCCACCAAGGUUAAAGUCCCGGUGCUCGCAUUUAUCUUGUGUUAAUUUCAGUAUUUUCCGGCAAUGUACGUUCAGUGGGAGGAGACGUUCCACUCGACUACGAGGCACCUAUGGUGACUUCGUAAAAUCUCAAGAUCAUAUAUGCUGGCCCACUCUCUCGAAGGUGCUCAUAGGGGUAGGGUUCGCGUGUGUGCGCUUAUAGCGGUGAGUGCUUGCGCGUAUAUAUGAGCCCUUGCGUCUGUACCGUGUUAAACAAAUACUACAUAUCAUGAUUAUACGGUCACUGGCUCACCCGUACAACUCCGUAUUUUGUUGAUGACACAAUCAAUUGACCAGUCAAACGUUCCACGCGGCGCAACUAGUGUUGCACCAUCGGGGCGCGUAACCGUGGGGCCCACCUGUCAGCCCGUAUAUGAAAGAAAGAAAUGGUAGUUUGAGUCUGUACUGUGUUAAUAAAAUAGGAGUACAUUUUAGGGUGAUCAUACGGUCACUGGCUCACCAUACAGCUCCGUAAUUUGUUGAUAACACGAUCAAUUGACCAGUCAAACGGUCCACAUUCAGCAGCGCACAUUACCAUAGGGCCCACCCGUCAGCGCGUAUAUGAAGGACAGAAAUGGUAAUAAAUUAGUGGUCGGUGGGUAUUCGAAGUCGUGAGACCUCUGGUUGGCAGUCANNNNNNNNNNNNNNNNNNNNNNNNNNNNNNNNNNNNNNNNNNNNNNNNNNNNNNNNNNNNNNNNNNNNNNNNNNNNNNNNNNNNNNNNNNNNNNNNNNNNNNNNNNNNNNNNNNNNNNNNNNNNNNNNNNNNNNNNNNNNNNNNNNNNNNNNNNNNNNNNNNNNNNNNNNNNNNNNNNNNNNNNNNNNNNNNNNNNNNNNNNNNNNNNNNNNNNNNNNNNNNNNNNNNNNNNNNNNNNNNNNNNNNNNNNNNNNNNNNNNNNNNNNNNNNNNNNNNNNNNNNNNNNNNNNNNNNNNNNNNNNNNNNNNNNNNNNNNNNNNNNNNNNNNNNNNNNNNNNNNNNNNNNNNNNNNNNNNNNNNNNNNNNNNNNNNNNNNNNNNNNNNNNNNNNNNNNNNNNNNNNNNNNNNNNNNNNNNNNNNNNNNNNNNNNNNNNNNNNNNNNNNNNNNNNNNNNNNNNNNNNNNNNNNNNNNNNNNNNNNNNNNNNNNNNNNNNNNNNNNNNNNNNNNNNNNNNNNNNNNNNNNNNNNNNNNNNCGGUGCGGCGGCGGACCGGCGGUGGGGAGUGGUUUCGGGGAGGGCGGGCCGGCCGCGGGCGGCGGGGGCUGGCGGUUCGGCCGGUGGUGGCUGGCGGCUCAGGGGGGGUGGAGUUUGAUGAUAAACUGGAGGCCCUUGAUUUCGUAUCCAACGGCUGGAAAAUCUAAUCACCAGAGAUGAAAAAGUCAGUCGACUGACGUGUAGCCUCACCCCAGACGUACACAUGCACGCACGCAAGACACGCAUGCAUGUAGGCGUGCAACACUGACACGUACACACGCACGCAUGCUGGCGUGCAACACUGACACGUACACAUGCACUCACGAACACACGCAUGUACACACCCAUGCAUGCAACACUGAAACGUACCCUUGCACGCACGCAACACUCGCACGCCUGCAUGCACACAGCACACGACGCAAGACACACGCUCAACCUAUACGUGCAUGCACCCUUUGUUAAGGACAUGGAUUGUUACGGGUAUUAAUCAAUCUUAUCUGUGAUAAGCAGAACAUUGAUGUUUGCAGCGGUCUUUAUGAAUCACAACGUAUCGAACGGGCUAUCAACAUAGUAGGCUUAUCUACAUGAAAAAGAUGACGUCACACUCAAUGAACAAUCAUCGGUUUAUGAAAUGCCCGCUUCUGACUGCCCUGGCCCACCAAAGGUUCCUCUGCUGUGCGCUGCCUGCUUGGGUCACUGACAUGCAGGCCAUGCACCCAAAGAGCCCACACGUCAGUGGAAGAACGGCGUGGUGUCCUAGGUCAGAGUCGAGGGCGCCACUCACGGCCUGCCCGGCUGAACACGCCUCCGUGCCGCAUUCAAAGGCCUCCAUGAAACCCGCCCGUGUGGAAGCCGAGAAACCCACUCUGGACACGCGUCCGUUCAUGACCGGGCCGGUGUUAAACGCAACGCCGGCCGAGCUCCUCCCGUCCGCCGUCUAUUUAAUCUCCUAUUUAAACGAGGCCAAACGCCGGCCAAGAAUCGCACACCUCCGCCGCUCCCCUAUCUCCUCCACCAUUUUGUCCACUCUUACAAUGGCUUACGAAGAGUAGUUAUUCCGCAUCCAAGACGGCAGGGUAGCCCGCCGGAUACGAGCUAUGCAGCUCGCUGAUCCACCUCCCUCCCCUCGCCCGACGGAGCCAGUUGCUGCCCCAAGCCGGCGCGCGGUUCAGCAACUCGCCGCUCCAGGCCAGCUCGACGAGGAGCGGCACACGGGCGUCGUUGCUGCCGUCCACGCCGCCGCCUCGUACCGCGUCUCCCGUUUUUGUGGCCGAGACUCCCAUGCCGGCGGCUGCGCCAUGCAAGCAGCGACAGAAGCCGGGUGCGCGGAGAGCGACGAGUCGGUGGCCAGCGCCUCCGCGUCCGCCGCCAUCAUCGAGGAGAAGUAGAACACGGGAGGCCGCCGCCGCUUGGGUCCCAUGAAGGCCACCGCGGAGGCGACGCCGGCGUACACAGCGGGUGUCUUGCCGGAUCCUUUUGUUGCGAGGACCUUCGUCGACCCCGCAUGGGCUCCACGGAAGAGAGGAAUGUUAGGAUGAACUCGAGCCGGUGCCGGCCAUGGCGAAGUAGUGGCCGGUGAUGAACUCGAACCGGUGCCGGCCACCAUCAUCUUCGGCACCAGCCAAUGAUAUCAGUUGGGCAGUGGGGAAGCGAGCCGUCCUUUGCGCUGAAGCAUAUACCUCCGGGGCUCCCGGCAGUCCGGUGAUCGUGCUGCCGGACAUGAGGAACACAAAUCGAUCGGCGGGCGACCAUUUAGGCCAGGUAUUAUGUAUCUGUGCUGUCCAGAACUAGCACCGCGUAGUUCAUUUGAAUGUAAUGAAAUCCGUCAUGUUUGUAUGAAAAUCCGGUAUUUUAUAUGAUUUCCAUCGUUGUUUAUAUGAAAUAUCAGUUUGUCUACGUGUUUGCGUGAAUUUCGUCCGGUUGGUUGAGUUGCUGUCAUAAUGUGUGCGGCUACGGUUGGAUGGCGUAAUUUGCGGGUCGCCGGUCGGUUUGCGGGCGGCUCGGGCGGCGUUGUGGGACAAAAAAAACACAGCUCGUGCGAGCUCGUCUCCAACGUGCGCGCUGGAGGAUGCAUGACAGCAUGAGCACCCGAGCCAUUCCUCGUUCAUCGGUGGCAAAGGCACCGGUGGACAAAAGGGUCGCCAAUAUUUUGGCUACCCCGGGCAAGAUCCAAACAGCCCCUCCCAACAGAUUCAAAUCCCUCGUUCGCCGUGGAAUUUUGCCAUGUGUUGUUUUCAUGGACUAGCAAGAUGCCCGUGCAUUGCACGGAACAUCAAGAUGCAUUUUUUUACAAACUCCCGCAUGCAUGCAAGGGAUAAUUAAUGUCCUCCUUUGCUAGUACCACGAGGCAAACACCAUUAAUAUUGCAUCGAUUAGUGUUAGUGGCCUUGUAUAUCUGCAAAUUGUAAUUUUGAUAGUGGCCCCUUGUAUAUAAAAAUGGAGGGAGAAAGAUGAGAGAUAAGGUGAGGAGGAGUGGGGCGUGGUGGUGACUGGUGGUCGGACUGGGCGGAGGCAUGGGGAUGUACGGCGCAUUAUGUCUAGGUUUGUAUCUCUCUCACACACACUCACGUAGGUGGGGGACGUGCACGAAGAGAAGAGGUGCACGCACGGCGCACGUACUCCCGUCUCUUUCCCAACCACACCCGCGCGGGUACACGGUGGAGCUCAUUUCUGUACGAAAAAGGCAGCCCACGUGGUUAUUUGGCACGUGUAUUGGUUGUCCACUUGGUGGAGGGAGGAUCGUCUACCACGGUGAACAAACAAAUUGCGACUUGACGCGUUAUGUUAAAUUAAAAAAAGAGGCAAACCAUGUGGGGCCUACCUUAGAGGCAAGGCUCUAUACACUGGAGUACUUUUGAUGUGUCCCGUCAACUCGCAGAACGAGGAGAAGCUUGCUUAGUACGCCGUCUCCCCCGCCCACGGGCGCGGUGGCUCGCAGGAUGAGGUGAAGCUUGCUUACGAGUAGUAGUAGUAGUACUACUACUACUGUACGCCUUUACGCCCGCUCCCUCGCCCACGCGCACGGUGGCUCGCAGCACGAGGAGAAAAUUUUACUACUCCCUCCGUUUACUCCUCGUCCCUACUACGUACUUUGGUUAGUACUCCCUCCAUUUACUUAUACAAGGCCACUAUAAAAAAAUACAUUUUGCAUCUAUACAAGGCCACAAAUAGUAAUCGAGACAAAAGUUACUACUCCCUCCUUUCCAGUUUAUGGCUCAAUUUCAAAAUCUCUCCAACCAAGGUAGACGGUGAGUGGUCGAAUUAAUUUCGUAGUUUGCACAAGUAAUUAGUACGCUCAUUUUUCUCAAGUAGUUAUGUUUACCGAGGCAUUAAUUAGAACGAAUGCAUGAAUGACCACUAAAUUUCCAUGAACUUGUACAUGCAUUGGUUAGUUUCCUCUUGACACUGCUUGCGUCGGGUGAUCUAACGCACCUCGAAAUCCAACAUCUAAUGGUACUACUACUAGUAUAGUAGGAUUGAGACUUAUCAAACGGAAAAACGAAUGUUUUUUAGAUGAGCCCUAUAAACCCUAGUGGGUACGUACUCCGUAAAAACAGAUUUUUCCAAAACUAAGUCGCUCCCUUUCAUGAAUUCUGUAGUAUACUCCUCCGUCGACGCUCCCUUUCAUGAAUUCUGUACUUCCUGUCGCCGACAUGUGGGACAUAUAGCAACCGGGUCGACGUGUCAAGCACCAAAUAACAGUGCAGAACAGCAGGGGGGACGCACCCCACUCGUACCGGCCCAGUAGUAGUAAUGAGCAAUGAGACGUCAAAUCACAAUGCCGCACCUUCCCAGAUGGACGAAGCAACCAUUAUUUCACACUUCAGUUCGCCAUCAUCUCAAACCACGUAGUAUUGCUUCUGCCUCAAGAGGGACACGCGCAUCGCCUUGGUACAUCAUGACACGUGGGACCGCAUGACAGGCCAUCUCCCCCGCCGAUCGCUCAGUAAAAUCACCUCAUUUUUACUAUACUUCCUCCGUAUCGGUUUACUACAUGGCAUGCACGUCGUUCUAGGUUGAGAAUUUAAUUGGCUAUAUAUGUGAUGAACAGUACUCUAGCCUUUUAAAAAAUGUAUACUUUUGUGCAGUAGUACUAUCGAUGGAUUGCGCCAUGGAGCAAAAAUUGAAAUUAAAAAAAAAGGCGGUACAUAUAGUGAGCGCUCGUCGCCAAAUUAUGCAUAUAGUACUAUUAAAAAAGCUAGUACGUGCUUAAUUGGGGUGCUAAAUUCUAUUAAAGAAAUACUAGUAGUAUGUACAUACUGAAGAGUUAAAGUAACGAGAAGAAACAUAACAUAGUUCUGCUGGGGGCUCAGCACAACACACCCCUCAAAUUAAACUAAGCACACCUGAAAUUAAACUAUGCAACUAAUCCGGUAGACACUGCAUUAGAAGUUUAGAACCACCAUGAGCAACGACACUGCCACCUUACUCGGAGUCCUCAUCCACGUCCUCGACUUCGUCCUUGUCCCUCUUCCUCUUGGUCGAUACUUCUUUGCUUGAACCGCACACUUGGAUGUUGCUCUUCAUCCAACCCUUGUAGAUAUUGAAACAAAGGUAGCCAUCCAUUGGAGUGUAGUGGAUGUGGUCUAUAUCUAGUACAUUCCGCUGCCAUGCAUGACGAUGAAACGUGUAAUGAGGUUUCUCCAGUUUACGGUACGAAGGAUGAACCAUGGCUCCUACCAGGGUCAGCAUUGAAGGCUGACGAGAGGGCACCAGCCGAUUCUUCUGGAGGUCGAAGGGGUUGCCUACAACGAGGCCUAUCCGACCUAGGACUUCUUUGUCGUUCUUAAAGUCUACAGUAACUAAUUUCACUGUUUUGUCCUUGAGGAAGUUCUUAAAAUCCUGGCACUCAACGUCGGCACGACAUAUGUGGUAGACCAAGCAAACGUUAUGUACGCAAACCUGGAUCACGGCGGGCUUCUUCCUUUCUUCGUCCUUUAGAUCAUUCUCUCGUCCCAGGACUGUGGUGUACUCAACAUGUAGCCCAGCGACCCACUCAUCAUCUGAGUUUUCGAACAUGCAUCUGAAGAGAGAAAGGCAUCCUUUCACCGUCGCGGAAGAACGGGUGUAGAUGACGUCGAACUCAUCGCCGGUGAUGGUUCUAACCUUGUACUCACCGCCGAUCGUGGAGAUUUGGGAUGCCAUGGAUUUGGGAGGAGUGUUAGGAUUAGUGGCUGCCAUAAUGUGAAUGGACGGGACGACUAGGAGCGAACCGCCGUAGUAUUGAAGGACGUGCAGGGACGAGUAGGAGCGAACUGCCAGCGUGCGAACGGCAGGGUAGUGGCUUUCCAUUCUCCCAUGAUACGGGCUUCCGAGAGCCCUUGGAUCUAGGAUCGAACGGUUGCAUGGCGUGAUUCUAGACCUAUGGGUGAAUAUCCUAUCCUGGAGGGUUAUUCUGCAAAUUUUCAGCAACUUAGCAUGCGACCGUUUGAUCUCAGAUCCAAGGGCUGCCAGCAGCCCGUAUCAUGGUCGCGCCUACCACGACCGUCGCGUCGCUCGCGCGGUCGCACCCUUGGAGAUUUAACACGAUGUGUUAGGCUAUCUGAUGUUGGCAUGUCAUACAUAGUCAUCACUUAGUCACUCAUACUACAACAAGGUUGGCUAUAAGGUUGGCUAUAAGUGUAUUUUUUUACUCCUCUCUAUCUCUUUCUUCGUACUCCCUGUGUCCCAUAAUAUAAGAACGUUUUUGACACUAGUGUAGUGCCAAAAACGUUCUUAUAUUAUGGGACACAGGGAGUACUAGUAUUUAUUGCAUUUGCCAAGGAGUGACCUCUUCCAAUGAAAUGGUGUUGCUAAGUUUGCUUCAUUUAAUUAGCUAUAGACUCAAAAUUGUCUUUUCACCUAGGUACACGCGCUUAGCACCGUUUCUUCCUUGGGUCACCAAACUAGUCUCUCUCUUCUGGAUUAACUUGCCACAUCAGACUUUAUGCCUAUGUGGCAAGCUUAAGCACCUGUAGGAGCAAGUAAAAAUAAGUACAAUAGUGCGCUUUACAUGGAAUUUUUGCAUAUGUGGAGGAAAGAGAGGCAAGGAAAAAGUGGAGAAGUGGGCUCUCAUGCAAGAGCCAGCCUCUACUACAUGGUGGAGCAUUGGGAGAGGCACCUGUAUGGAGGUGGUCAGGAAUCAAGAGACUCACGCCGGUCGUAGCACCGUAGUUGAAAUGAUAAUGGCAAGUCAAAUCACGGGGCCCCACCUGUCCAGCAGUAACUCGCUGUCAAAUCACAUAGCCCUACGUUUGCAGCAGCCUACUCCCUCGUCUUCUCGCGUCUCUGUCGAACCGACUAGGCAGAACUGCCCCGCCUACCGCGCAGGAAAAGCCCCGCCCUCGACUUUUAUAUACAACUACAUCCGCUUAAGAAUCCAAUGAUAUACUUUUUGUGACAUAGUAACUCAUAUUUAGUUAGUCAAAUGGAUGACCUAGAACUACGUGUAGGCCCUAUAAACUGAGACGCCUAAAAAUAAAAAACCAAGACAGAGAGGGUAGUCCAGCACGUAUCUUUUUAGAUCAAUAUAGUCGGGAUUCACCAAGGAGCAAAACCAAGUGGCAGGCUGCUCCUGUCGUGUUGGCGUAGCAACUCAAGCAGGGUCAGUUCGCACACGAAAUGGCGACACACUUAACAGGACCCCUUUGGCCGACAAGUGGCUCAUCCACCAUCUUGUUCCACGUGCGAUGCACCAAAAUACAGUUCGGAGCAGCGGUUGGAAUUGGAGGCACCCCGGUCGUAGCGCCGCAGUAGUAGAAAAUGAGCGAUGAGGGGUCAAAUCACAAAGCCCCACCUUUCUCGCAUUAAGCUGGACGGACGAAGCAACCAUCAUUUCACUCUAGGGCGCAAGAGAAUAAAGAAAAGAGAAAACAAUGAUGCGUGCGGCAGCUACAUAGGGCACCCUAGGGUAGGGGUCUCCACUACAGAUCCUUUUUUUUGAAAGCGCCUCCACUACAAAUCGGCUUCUCCCUUGUCCUCUUGAAGAAAACCGAUGACGAGUGCGGCGGUAGGGUUUGUAGGAGUACUACGGCAUGCGGGGCCACGUCGUAGUAAACGGGUUCGAGUUGACACCUUAAAUAUGUGUGGGCCGCUUGGUUUUACGGGAACGAGGCAGCAUUUUGGGUUCGGGGACCAGUGGAGAUAUAGUACGUACAAAAAAUUGUGGACGUAGGUUCGACCGAAAGUCAAUGAUGCAUGGGCCCUGCAUUUUGAUAUACCCCGGGCCGCCUGAAAUUUGCUACUCUACUCAAAACUAGUAAGGUACACAUGUAUUGAAUGCAUGAGAUUUCAAAACCAAAUUACGAAUAAAUACACACUAUAGCAUGUAAAGCUUUGAGUCAUAUAUGCAUGAUGUAGAUGUUCGUUUAGUUCUUAUAGUUCAUCUCAUUGAAAAUCAAUUAGUUUUAUAGAAAUGUUAAGAUUCAUGGGGUUGUGCAUUGUAAAUCAUAAAGUAAAAAACAAAUAAUUGGAAUUCAUUUAGAAAAAAAAAUCAAUUAUGAUACAGAAGAUUCUAGAACAAAGGAGAAGUGCUUGUGUUUUCAGGUUUGUGCAUUAUGCUUAAGUUCAACCAUGGAGUCUUCUAAAUUGUGCAUGUGGCAGAUCUGGUGGAAUGUUGAUGAUAUCCAACGGCCAGUAGUGCUCAGAUUUGCCUAUCUCUGCACUGUCGGGUUAGCUUCAUCCAGCAACCAUCUUUCAAAGUUAUUGGCACACUAUAUAGUUCUUGUGCCAUAGUUGCAUGUUUUGGAAAAAGCUACUAGUGGGUUGUACUAUCUAUUUAGGAAUAGAAGAUGUAUACAUGGAAGUUGUAGGGAAAGAGAUGACAUGGAGCAUCUCAAUUCCUAUGAGUAGGGAUUGGAAAAGAGAUGUCAUUUGGUUCACAUCAUAGGAACUUUUCUAUUGAAUCUAGAGAUGACAUGUAUCUCAAUUCCUAUGAGGAGGGACUAUAAAAGAGAUGUAAUUUGGUUCAUAUCAUAGGAACUUUUCUAUUGAAUAUACGCUAAUGUUUAUUUUCCUUUGAAAUUAAGGGAGUAUAGGAAUCCAUUCAUAUGAACCAAGUGGCUCUAAAGCUAUAGAAAUGAUAUCAUGUUUAUUUCCUUUGAAAUGUGGAGUAUAUGAAUCUAUUCCUAUGAACCAAUUGGCUCUAAAGGAAAAAAUCCUAUAAAAAUCAUAUCAUAUAGAAUUCCUAUGAUAUUCCUCGACACUAAAGGAUGCUUGAAAUUGCUGCGGGUGAUACGAUGGUCUUUCUUUGUAGACUCCUCACCCAUCUUUAUAGUUACCUCUCAAAGAUGAAUCAAAUGAUAUAUACAUGGUAUUCUACCUGUGCAAUUUCGUACACGAAAACUCGGUAAAAGUUUGCGAGGUUCGAAUUUUCAAUAAAGCUAUAUGCACUGCAUUUCGGAACGGAGGGAGCAUACGGCAGUUGCUAACACUCACGUGGAAGAUUUGUGUGUAGGAGGAGUGGCUGUUCUGUUAAAUGACAUGGAAAAACUGACACUGUCGGAUGCCGAUCUAACGAUUCUUACGGCAUUCGUCAGGAAAAGGCUUGUGGCGAACGUUUGUCGGAUAAUGAUUUACGGACACAUGCAUUGCAUUGAUACGUGCCCCCCUCUCUCUCACGCACACGCACCCUCACGAGUCACGACUCUCCCGAGUCCUCUCGCAGACUCGCACGUCGCACCCACCGUCUAUCUGCAGGUAGACGUCACGCACAUAUGUGCUCUUCACACCCUACCCUUAGAACUUCUAAAAAACAAAAGACGACGCGCACAUUUUAUUUUAGCUCACACGUCACACACUUAUACUAUUACUCUUGCGGCGAACGUUCUUUGGGCAUAGUAUAUUGUGCUCUCAUGAAGAGAAGCGGUGCACGCAUGCACUCGUUCUCUCACACCCACUCGCGGGUACACGUAUGAGCGCAUUUUUUUGAAGCUGGUACAACAAAAUCACUCCACUAUAUAUAAAAGCAGGAGCCUUAGCGCUUGCUUUACUAGGGUUCCUCUCGUUCACUCUCUCAUGCUCUCCAGAUCUAAGCAACACAUAGGCGGCCCCACUCUCUCUCAGCUCACGGCUGGUCACAAAUCCGGCCGGACAACCUCGACCGGGGUACGGGUGUAGGUGCAUCGUUCACGUUGUCGUCGGCGGCGAGGGAGGAGACCAACGGCUGCUCGUGCGUCCCGAUUGGCGGCCGUGCCGUUCUCUCCGAGAGAGCGCCGGCUCGGGAGGGCCUCCGACCCCUUCUUCCUCCCUGCGGUAUUGUGGCCAAGAUGCGGCCUCCCGACGCCGUCUUUGCCACAAGCCAACGACCCUCAGGUAUAUAUUCCUUCGAAACCCGCCUUGCUCUACUGCCCCAGCUCCCUUCGUGUGGAUCCUUUUCUACUUCCGUCCACUGUUCCAAAGCCACCUAGACUUCUACUAUUAUUAGAAGUAAAGCUAGUUCAUACAGUCGACUCAAAGGGUUGGUUCAAACAGGGAAGAAAGUGGGAAAGCUGUAGCAUGAAUCUAGGACUUGGUUCUAAGAGGAAACGGGGGAAAGUAGUAAUAUUUGGCACUGUUUAAAUAACCGUAUUUCGUAUUUGCGCAAAGAGGGAUGUCUGUCUCCAUAUCGUUUCGGGAUGUUUGUCUCCGUAUCGUUUCUAUCCGCACAAUCAAAAGCACACACCCCAGUUUUAGUAGAACUGCGCAAAAUGAGAUGGCUAUCCCUCGUUGCCGUCAUUUAACCUCCCGUCUUCAAGGUAUCCCUACAUUGGUACUAGAAACUAAGGUAGAAUGAGCAAUGCAAUCUAAAAGAAGCUGAUUCGUAUGUUUUACUUCCUGAUUGCAGUGCAGGGACGAGCGAAAACAACUGCAUCCUAGUCCGGAAUGCACUUUCUACCAGUUCAUCCAUGGACCGAGGACUAGCUGGCACGGCUGCACGGCGGUUUUUUGGACAGGUGCGCGGACAAGAGGCAUUGUGGCAUGCUUAUUUCUGCAAAUAGCGGUGCUUAAAUUUAGUGGAAUGCACAAGCAUUUCAGCUGGUCAGUACACUGCAUGGUUCAGUUCAGCAUUCCAGCUGAGACCACAAUUAUAAUUUGUUAUUCUGGAAUGAGAGAACCUAACCCUGAAUGGUGGCAACAAGAAAAAACUAGAGUGAACUCCAGGAAAUUUAAGCCUGCCGGGAGGCCCUUUGCUCAGAGAAGCCUUGCUUGUUUUUUUCCUGAUUUGUAAACCUUCUCACAACUUUGUCUUUUGCUGUGAACUAGUAUCUGUUUGUUACGUUCUAUGAAUCAUUGAGAUGUAUAAAAUUGCUUAACUUAUGCUUUUCAAGUUUUUUAUGAAGACGAGUUUAAUGUGAGUGUUCCACAUGAGCGCUGGACUAGCGUGGAACAUUUGGAAUUUAUUACAUUGUGGCCUCAAUUGACUGCAUGAACCACUGUAACAAGAUACAUACUUGAUUAUAUGCCAGACAACAGAUUGUUGAUUGUUAGCUGGUCGAUAGCCUAGUGUUGAAGCGAGCCGAGCCAAUGUGCCGUGUUUUGCACAACUGCUUACAAGUGGGGUAGCACCAACAGUGUUUACAAGUACUUAUGUAUACGUCGACGCACGGUUCUCGAAUGAGUGCUCUAUUUCAUCAAAACACACACUGCUCAUAUGAUAAACCGUGACAACUUAUGUCUUACCAUGCCAUAUUCAUGAAAAAACUAGUGAGGACGCAUCUGUUUCGGCUACAAUCACGAUGGUUCUCACAUGAUUCACGGGCACACAAAAGUAGCAGCAGUUCCCAUAGACGGAUUCAAACAGAGUACUAGUCCCAGAGGGGUCGAUAACAGGCAAGGUUCGGAUAAUUAGACACAAUCCAAACUAUUAUUAAAGACUAGUUGGGGCAACUAUUUCAUGCCUCGAUCUAAUUUGGGCUGGACACAAGACGGACCUUGCCAUGAACAUCAUCGAGGACGUCCCGCAGCAGCUCAAUCCUGUGAACCUUCAUGAAGACAACCUUGUGGCCUUGCCACUGAUAAACUUGUUUGUGGAGGCAUGCCACAUCAUCUUCCUGCGUAAGCUUGACAAGAACAGUAUGCCUCACAAACGAAGGAGUAGCUUUGAACUUCUUGUGCUUCAGUGCACCCUGGACAACACGCCUGACAACAGUGAGGCUGGAAUACAACUCUUCAUUGGUAUAACCGCAAAUGGCUUCCAGGAUCCAACAGCCUAAGAACUCUGUUUUCCCAGUGCGUAUAUUCAGGUCGUCCACCUCAUAGCGAGUGACAUGUACAACCACAUAAUCCUUGUCUGCAUCAGGGCUCUAAUUGAAACAGAAACAAAUUCUGAAUUACUUUACAGUAUAAGAAACACAAGUUAUUUAAACCACUAUGUAUAGCAUGGCAUCGAAGCUAAUAAAAUUUUGCAUUAUUAAUCACCACAUACUUCCUUUUCUAAAAAAAUCACCACAUACUUAGAUGAAAAACCACAAUCGAGAUCGGCAAAGAAGGAAAUCAGCUUGGGCAGCUCAGCGGGGAGGGGGGGGGGACACAUCCUCGAAGGGGGAAAACUGCUCCUGCAGUGCCACGGGGGCUGUAAACUCAAACGGGGCAUUGACCAUCUCAAUAGUGGCCGUGAGCGUAUUCGGGGUCAGCUCGGUGGUUGCCUCCAUCUUCUUGGAGCUCUCUGUCUCGUGGGGAUCAGCCUCCCACGUCUGCUCCAAUAUCGGUAGAUCUUUGCCAGGUUCUCCUUGGUCCAUCAUGAAACUGACGAAUACUAGGAGACCACUGACAGGAAAACACAAUCGCAAUGACAAUGAAACAAAAAAGAGAGUGAGGAUCGGUUACUGCUUUGCAAAAGUUCUUUUUUUUCUCUGAACGAAAAUAUACCAACAUCACGGAUCCGCUUACCUUCCCUUCGUUCGGAGAGAAGAACAGUGGCAGAUGCGAGUGUUGCCUUUCUUGAAGACGGUGAGGGAGAAGGGGAUUCAGCGAAGAGUGAAAUGAUGGUUGCUUCGUCCGUCCAACUUAGACCGCGGGGAGGUGGGGUUUUGUGAUACGACGGCUCGUUACUGCCGUGGUACGACCGGGGUGACUCUCCGCCUGCAUACUGCCUUCUAAUUUGGUGGAUGGCAUUUGGGCCCACGCGCUGCAUGGCCCGCAUGCCGGUGAACAAAAGUAUAACGGUAUUCAGUAGAGGGAGACGUUUCAAUGACCUAGGAGGAGCCAGAAGCGGUAGAGUGUCUCCACUGUACUAGUAGUAAUUGUUUUUCUCGGUAGCUGUAGAGUGUCUCCACUGUACUAGUAGUAAUUGUUUCUCUGGGCCCAAGACAAAACAGCCCAUCCACACUAGUAAAUAGUAAAAUCAAUUCAAAAGCCCAUCCACACUGGGUGCUCUUCUUCCUCCUCGCUCCCACCCACCUCACGUCAGCUCGCUCCACUCGUACCCCCAAAUUCCUCACCUCACUCCUACAGAAAACUCCAGCUCCCCUUCUUCCUCACUCCUACAGAAAACCCCCAGCUCCCCUUCUUCCUCACUCCUACAGAAAACCCCCCAGCCCCCCUUCUUCUUCGCUCGCACUACAACUAGGCUCGUCAUUCUUUACUCUGCUCAAAUCCGUGAGCGCGACGCGACGCCCUCGAGGAAAAUGGAGUCGGCUGACCCCAGCGCCAAGAAGAUGAGGCUCCCGCCAGCGGCGACGCCUGUUGUAGAUCCCGCACCCGGCAGCGCGGGGAGAAGCGGCGACCCCGCCCCCACCGGAUCCCAGGAACCCGUAGAAUCUCGGGUGGACCGCAUCAACGAUCUCCCGGACGAUGUCCUUGGGGAGAUCAUCUCGCUUCUCCCCACCAAGGAUUGCUGCCGCACCCAAGUCCUCUCAAUUCGGUGGUGCCCUCUAUGGCGCGCCGUGCCCCUUAAUCUCGACUGUCGUCAGCUAUCUCUCUUCAAUGAUUUUGAAAUCCCCAGAGCCAUCAUCUCCUCCCACCAGGGCUCCGUUCAAAGCCUCUACAUCCCGUCAUGCUACCUGAGCAAGCAUACCAUGCCCUGCACGGUGGACGCCUGGCUGAAAUCCCCUGAAUUCGCAGAACUACAGCUGCUUGACUUCUACUAUUCCCCUGGAAAUCACAUACCACAUACCGAACGCCAUGAACUUGUGCCCUCAGCACUGAUGUCCAUCUCGCGGUUUUCGUCCUCUCUCCACACCGCCACCUUUGCGCUGUGCUACCUACCAGACAAUCUGGUACUAAACCUUCGACUCCCAUUUCUCAAGAAACUUUCACUUGUGCGGGUUCGUAUAUCGGAGGCCUCAUUGCACAUCAUCAUCCACUCCAGUUGCCCUGCGCUGGAGUGCUUGGUGCUUGUUUUCACAGUUAGAAUCGGUUGUCUCCAAAUAAAGUCGCCUAACCUUGUAAGAAUUGGAAUUUCUUUUGACGGAAGGUAGCUCAUCAUCCAAGAUGCCCCUUCACUUCAAAGGUUGAUCCUUGAUUCUAGUUAUUCACCGUUGCAAAUAACCGUCCUCUCUGCGCCUAAACUGGAGACCUUGGGUGUAAUACAUGAUCUCUGUGCUCAUUUCAAUAUGGUGUUUGGCUCCACAGUUCUUCAGGUACUUUAUAUUAUCAUCUACACUUGUAACCAUAAGCUGUAUUUUAAAUUUCUGCGCAUAAUUUAUAUAUCAUCUUGGAGUACACAUUUUGUACUAAUAUUAUGUUCUAUGCUCAAUGAAGAGUUUCUCCAUGGAUGGCCUAUCAAUGGUGUUGGAUUCUGUCAAGAUCUUAUAUAUCCAAAUGAAUAGUUUUGAUCUGAACAAGAUUAUUGGCUUGCUGCAAUGCUUUCCAUGUCUGGAGAAGUUGUAUAUAAAGGUGACAAUUUCACGCACAUUGGAAGCCCGCAUAUAGUGUACUAGAAUUAACCGUUCAGCUGUUGCUCUUUCGACACUCUUCUUUUAGACCUUAACUGUUUUCAAUCUUCAUGUCUAUUUAGGCAACAGGACGCGGUAAGAAAGUUAUAACCAAUCGGUGGAUUCGUAAGCAUCGGGAUUUUCUCACUUCUCAUGAGAUUCGACUGAAGACAAUAACGCUCGAACGAUAUGUAGCCAACCGUGCAAACACCAGAUUUGUCACAUUCUUCCUGCUGAAUGCGAGGUUACUAUUGUCCAUCAGGCUUAAGUUUAUCAGCAGCAUGGUUUUGACGGAUGGGUAUGUCGAAGAGCAAAAAAAGGAGUUUCAGGUGGGCAAAAGAGCUUCUGAACGUGCCGGGCUUCUAUUUACAACAUAUUGUGGUCAUAAUCCAGUAAAUUUUACGACCCAGGAUGUUCAUUCUAUGGACCUGACCGAUCCAUUUGACUGUGACUGCCGAAAACAGUGCUGGAGUUAGAUGUUGUUGCCCUUUUCGAUCUGGUUUUUUUGUAAACCUGAUGAACAAUUAACCCUCGUGCUUUUGUACAGUUUGUAAGCUGGAGUUAGAUGUUCCUGCCCUUUUCAACUCGGCUGUGACUGUCAUAUUUUCUUCGAAACAAGGCAAAUGGCUUGCCAUUCGUUUAAUUUAGAGUGAAAUAUUGUAAUAAAUCCCAACCAAGGGAAAUAACAUCACUCUCGCCGGCUGCUUGAGCUCACUGUGCAUUACAGAAGCCAAGUGAUUAGCCCCCACCAGCACCCACAAACUUAUUUCAAACUAGCACAUCAAAUGGGCUGUAAAUUUUCAUAGGAAAGGCUGCAUGACCAUGACAGAUUUGGAUUCUGACAUUUGGGACCCACGAGGAAAUAGCCUAUCCAAGGUGGUGUCGACUUACUAGCCAGUCAACAAACGAUUCUGCCUACCAGCCGUUGGAUUGACAUCCAACAUCUGUCGUGUAUCUUCUAUCUCUUGUCUUCUUCUUCCUCCAGCCGCCCAAACCAAACCACCCCGUCGGCUCCGCCUGCUCCCGCCUCCCAUGUCUAGCUGCGCCUCCGCCGCCCUACCGUACGUACCCUCCAACGUUGGCCAGUCCCUCCAUCUAUUUCCCCACACGUCCUGUUAUUCUCCGGCGACGUCAGCCCCAACACGCACGCGCGCCCGAACCAGUCAACCCUCGUACUCCCCUCCGCCUGCGACUGGACCGGCGCAUCUUCAACGGCUCCUGUUCGUUCCGUCCGAGGCCUCGCCGUCAUCCUCCGCCUUGCGGCCUUGGUUCGCUGCCGUGCGCAGUGCGCCGCCCUCUUGUGUUGUCAACGUCGUCAACAACCGAGAGGAACAAGGAGAUCACUGUACGUGGAGAGGAUGACAGUAGGGACCCACCAGCGUCAUGGCAGUACGCAAGCAAGUGCCUCUAUUGUACAAGCCCAAAAAUAUGGUUCCUCCUAAUGGUUGGACAUCUGGGGCUCACGCCAUUGUCAACGUAGUCAAUAAACGAGAGAAUUACACUACGAGCGGCUGACACCAGGGACCCAACAAGUCGCGCAGUUUUUUUGAGGAACAAGCAGUUGUUAUUUAUACUAGUUUUAGCGACGGAUCAGGGUAACAACGGGCCUGUGCGGGGGCUAUGGUCCGUCUAGCCAGGGUUUUAUUUAUGUUUACCACAUCAUGAGCCCAGUUGUGUUUUUUUCUUGCUGAAAAUGGCUAGCCCAGUUCUAUUUUGUUUAAAGAAAUACCCAAACAAGGCCUACUUGCUUUAUCGGCCCUGCUGGGCUGCAAAUCUUUCAAGACGAGGAGAGUUUCAUUCGGUUUGCCCAGAAAUGGGCUGUAUAUUAUUAAAACACAUCAAACCAGGAAUUAGUUUCAAUUUUUUUAUUACAAGAUCUUAAAUUCCAUUGAUUUUUAUGCGUGGACAAUUAUUUGGAUUUUAUAUUUAUAUAAAUUAUUUUUCAAAAUAGUUUGAAUGUGAAUCGAUAUUUCUGGAUUAAAAACAGUUGACCGACCGAAAUAUGCAAAAUUUUGUAUACUUUUUAACCGUGGCCACAAUAUGGGGUGUAAUGCUAACAAAAAUAAGAUGGGCUCCAAAAAAAUUCUUAAGAAUUAGCAAAUGGGCUGUACAUUAUAAGAAAUAAUGGCAGAUGGGUUGUAUGCUGUUUUCCACAGAUUUGAGGCUGACUUGUGCGCCUACUACAGGUUGACGCGUAUGCUUUCAUAAAAAAAGGUUGAUGCACACGCAACGCCCUGUCAACUUAGUCAACACACGAGAGCAGUGACUGUUGGAUGUCCAUCCAACGGCUGUCGUGCUUCUUCAAUCUCUGCUCUUCAUGCUCCAGCCGCUCAAACUAGCGCCGGCGAGACUGCCUGCUCCCUCCUCCCGCGGCCGGCUAUGCUGCCGCGCAGGCCUCACGGCCCCACCGUACUCCCAUCGCUGGCCUAGCCAUCCCUCUACUCACCCACACAUGAUGUUAUUCUCCGGUGACGGCAGACGAACCAGUAAACCCUCGUACUCCUCUGCGUGGGAAACAACUGCCGAGUAUUCCCUGGCUCCGUGUCGUUCCCUUCCUAGGCCUCGCCGUCAUCCACCGCCCUGGUGUUCUCGGCGCGGCCUGGUCAACGUGGUCAAUGAACGACAUCCAUCGGAAGUGGACUGUACGUGGAGAGGCUGACAGCUGGGUCCACGGCCGCACGCAAGGAAAUGCCUCCUUAUUACGCGCAAAAUAAUGAUUCCUCCACCUGACAGCUAGGACCCACAGGAAGGGCCUCUGUAUUUCGCGAAAAAAACGUUCCCCCCGCUGACAGGUCGGACCCACCAGUUAUAUCUUCGCACGCAAGGAAGUGCCUCCUUAUUACGCCCAAAAAAAUGAAUACCCCCUGCUAGCUGGGACCCACCAUAUUGUUGGGCUGACUUGUGGGCCUACUAAGUUGACGGGGACGGAGGGCUUUGUCAACUUAGUCAAUACUCCAGUGACCGUAUGAUGUCCAUCCAACGGCCAUAGUGCUUCUUCAACCUCUGGUCUUGUUGCUCCAGCCGCCCAAAGAAGCGCCGGUCGUGCCGCCUGCUCCUGCCUCCCGUGGCCGGCUGUGCUACCGCGGAGGCCUCACUGCCCCCAUACUACUCCCACCACUGGCCAGGCCAUCCCUCCACUCACCCACACCCCCUGUUAUUCUGCGGCGACGGCAGCCUCACACCGCAGCCGAACCAGUGAAUGCUCGUACUCCUCUCCGCGUGGGCAUCCACUGCCGCGUCUUGCCCGGCUCCGCGUCGUCCCCUUCCUAGGCCUCGCCAUCGUCCACCGCCGUGGUGCUCUCGGUGCGGCGUGGUCAAUGUGGUCAACGACCGACUUCCAUCGGAAGAGUACUGUACGUGGAGAGGCUGAUAGCUGGGUCCACGGCCACAUCCCAGUUUUUUUGUGAUUUGCCAAGUAAGUCGCUUUGUCAGGCCUGUUGGGCUGCAAGUCUUUCAAGACGAGGAGAGCUUUCAUUCGGCUGGCCGAGAAAAUAGCCCAUCAGUAAUGAGAAAUGGGCUGUACAUUUUUAAAACACAUCAAACCGGCAAUUAGUUUCAAAUAUCUUUUUUUUUCAUUUCAAGAUUUUAAAUUACAUUAAUUUUUAUGCGUGGAGAAUUUGUUGGAUUUUAUAUUGAUAUACAUUUAUUUUUAAAAUCAGUUUGAAUGUGAGUCGAAAUUUAGGGAUUAAAAACAGUUCGGACCGCACCGAAAUAUGCAAAAUUUCGUAUGAUUUUCUAACCGUGGCCACAAUAUGGGUUGUAAUGCUAACAAAAAGAAUAUGGGCUCCAAAAAAACCCUUAAGAAUUAGCAAAUGGGCUAUAAAUUAUUAGAAAUAAUGGCAGAUGGGCUGUAUGCUGUUUUCCACAGAUUUGAGGCUUUCCUAAAAAAAGGUUGACGCACAAGCACUGAUUGUUGGAUGUCCAUCCAACGGCCGUCGUGCUUCUUCAAUCUCUACUCUUCCUGCUCCAGCCGCUCAAACAAGCGCCGGCGGGACUGCGUGCUCCCUCCUCCCCGCGGCCGGCUGUGCUGCCUCGCAGGCUUCACCGCCCCACCGUACUCCCAUCGCUGGCCUAGACAUCCCUCUACUCACCCACACUUGCUGUUAUUUUCCGGCGAUGGCAGACGAACCAGUAAACCCUCGUACAGUCGUACUCCCCUCCACGUGGGAAACAACUGCCGAGUCUUCCCUGCCUCCGUGUCGUUCCCUUCCUAGGCCUCGCCGUCGUCCACCGCCCUGGUGCUCUCGGCGCGGCCUGGUCAACGUGGUCAACGACAGACAUGCAUCUGAAGUGGACUAUACGUGGAGAGGCCGAUAGCUGGGUCCACGGCCGCACGCAAGGAAAUGCCUCCUUUUUACGUGCAAAAUAAUGAUUCCUCCACCUGACAUCAGGGACCCACCGAAAGGGCCUCUGUAUUUUGCGAAAAAACGUUACCGCCGCUGACAGCUCGGACCCACCAGCUAUAUCUUCGCACGCAAGGAAGUGCGUCCUUAUUACGCACAAAAAAAUGAAUACUCCCCUGCUAGCUGGGACCCACCAUGGUGGGAGGCUGACUUGUGGGCCUACUAAGUUGACUGGGAUGGGGGCCUUUGUCAACUUUAGUCAAUAUGAACGAUUCUAGCUCCAGUGACUGUACGAUGUCCAUCCAACGGCCGUAGUGCUUCUUCAACCUCUGGUCUUCUUUCUCCAGCCGCCCAAAGCAGCGCCGGUCGUGCCGCAUGCUCCUGCCUCCCGUGGCCGGCUGUGCUGCCGUGGAGGCCUCACCGCCCCCUACUAUUCCCACCGCUGGCCAGGCCCUGCGGCGACGGCAGCCUCACACCGCAGCCGAACCAGUGAACCCUCGUACUCCUCUCCGCGCGGGCUUCCACUGCCGCGUCUUCCCCGGCUCCCCGUCGUCCCCUUCCUAGGCCUCGCCGUCGUCCACCGCCCUGGUGCUCUUGGCGCGGCGUGGUCAAUGUGGUCAAGGAACGACUUCCAUCGGACGUGGACUGUACGUGGAGAGGCUGACAGCUGGGUCCACGGCCGCAGCCAGGAAGUGCCUCCUUAUUACGCGGAAAAUAAUGAUUCCUCCACCUGACAGCUGGGACCCACCGAACGGGCCUCUGUAUUUCAUGAAAAAAGCGUUUCCCCCUGACUGCUGGGACCCACCAGCUACAUCUUCGCAUGCAAGUAAGUGCGUCCGGGCAAAAAAAAAAGAUUCGCCCCCCUGACUGCUGGGACCCACCAGCUACAUCUUCGCAGGCAAGGAAGUGCCUGAUAGUCGGGACCCACCUGGUCGAAGCGUACGUAGCAUUUUCAUUCUGGUCGCGAACGUGUACAUACACACUGGUCGAUGUAGAGGCGCGCACAUGUCGUAGUAGAGGCGCGCAUGUAGCAUGUACAUGUACGUACAGCGGCCAGUGUGCAAGAAAGAAAAUACGACCACGUACGUACAUAUGGGCAGGGUCUCGAACGCCUACUCGCGCAUACGUACGGCCAGGGCUCGUGUACAUGGCUGGGUCGGAACGGAGAAACAAUGUCGUCGUCGUGUUCAUGGGGAGCCAACCGGCUGGGUCGGAACGGAAUGCGUCGUCGUGUUCAUCGGGAGGGCUUGGACGGAACAGCCCAUGGAAACGAGGCCUGGCGUACCGCAAAACGGAGGAAACGGCCUUGUGUUCGACCGGCCACGUUUGAAACAGGAUCCUGUUCAUUGGGAGGGGUCUGGCGUACCGCAAAACGGAGGAAACAGACCUCCUAUGGCUGAAACGGGGGUCCCGCUGAUCGGGAGGGGUGUGUUGUACCGCAAAACGGAUGAAACGGACCGCCUACGGUCAAAACAGGGGUCCUGUUCAUCGGGAGGGGUGUGGCGUAUCGCAAAACGGGACUCCACGGGACACUGUUCAUCUCCACCGUCAACCCCCUCCAGCCUCCACGGGCUAAUGUUCAUCCACCGUCGACCUCCUCCAGCCUCCACCUGCGACUGUUCAUCCACGGGCUCCUGUUUAUCUAGCCUCCACCACGCGCUACUCCACCGGCUACUGUUCAACCAGCCCUCUCCACGGGCUCCUGUUCAACCACCCCUCCAUGGGCUACUGUUCAUCCAGACCUCCACCGUCUACUGUUCAUCCUGCCCUCCACGGGGUGGUCCUGUUCAUCCUGCCCUCCACGGGGUCCUGUUCAUCCAGCCCCAACCGGCUCGAUCGAUCGGGGUCCUGUUCAUCCAGAGGCAACACCAAGGGGUCCUGUUCAUCCACCCCCACCGGGAACUGUUCAUCCAAACCCCCCAGCAACGCUCACUGUUCAUCCAGAGGCAGCAUCGAUCGGCUUCAGUUAGCAGCAGUAGUGAAGGAAUCGCUCGAUCGGGUUCAAUUAACAGCCAUCGAUCGAUCGCUCGGGUUCAGUAACGCGUAGCCUGCAGUGCAAUCGUUCGGGUUCAGUUAGAGCCCAAUGCCUCGCUCAGGUUCAGUUAGAGCCAACGCCUCGCACACACGCGCGUACGUGUACGAGAGAAAGGCGCAUCGCGCAUCGCUCGACCCCCGACCUCCCACCGUAACCGGGAACUCCCCGAAAUUUUCCUCGCCCUCGCUUCUACCACGGUUUUUUCCGUCAUGGACGGCCCAAAGAAUGUCAUGCAGCUGCGUCUCCGGCCCGCCUAGGACGAAAAGCCCAUUUUCUGUCAUGAUUUUUUGUCAUAGAAGUAGGAGCCCACCACAUCUAUGAUGAUUCCGGGUUUUGUCACAAUUAUCGUCAUAGAAGUGUCAUAUGUAUGACAGAAAAAAUUUCGUUCGGCCCAAAAUGUCACGGAUGUGUCUUUUUUUGUAGUGUUCCUAUGUUAUGACAAAUUGCAAUUGCUUCAAUGACUGAGAUUAUAGUUUGUUAGUUUUCAAUGAAGUUUCUGACUCAUACUUGACAUUGUGAAUAGAUUGUUACUUGAGGACAAGCGAGGUCUAAGCUUGGGGGAGUUGACACGUUCAUUUUGCAUCAUGCUUUUAUAUCGAUAUUUAUUGCAUUAUGGGCUGUUAUUACACAUUAUGUCACAAUACUUAUGCCUAUUCUCUCUUAUUUUACAAGGUUUACAUGAAGAGGGAGAAUGCCGACAGCUGGAAUUCUGGGCUGGAAAAGGAGCAAAUAUUAGAGACCUAUUCUGCACAGCUCCAAAAGUCCUGAAACUUAACGGAGGCAGUUUUUGGAAUUAAUAAAAAAUACUGCCGAAAGAAUUAACCAGAGGGGACCCACACCCUGGCCACGAGGGUCGGGGGCACGCCCUACCCCCUGGGCGCGCCCCCUGCCUCGUGGGCCCCCUGGCAGGCCUCCGGUGCCCAUCUUCUGCUAUAUGAAGUCUUUCACCCUGGAAAAAAUAAGGAGGAAGCUUUCGGGACGAAACACUGCCGCCACGAGGCGGAACCAAUCUAGGGCUCCGGCGGAGCUAUUCUGCCGGGGAAACAUCCCUCCGGGAGGGGGAAAUCAUCACCAUCGAUCCUCUCAGCGGGAGGGGGUCAAUCUCCAUCAACAUCUUCACCAGGACCAUCUCCUCUCAAACCCUAGUUCAUCUCUUGUAUCCAAUCUUUGUCCCAAAACCUCAGAUUGGUACCUGUGGGUUGCUAGUAGUGUUGAUUACUCCUUGUAGUUGAUGCUAGUUGGUUUAUUUGGUGGAAGAUCAUAUGUUCAGAUCCUUUAUGCAUAUUAAUACCCCUCUGAUUAUGAACAUAAAUAUGAUUUGUGAGUAGUUACAUUUGUUCCUGAGGACAUGGGAGAAGUCUUGCUAUAAGUAGUCAUGUGAAUUUGGUAUUCGUUCGAUAUUUUGAUGAGAUGUAUGUUGUCUUUCCUCUAGCGGUGUUAUGUGAACGUCGACUACAUGACACUUCACCAUUGUUUGGGCCUAGAGGAAGGCAUUGGGAAGUAAUAAGUAGAUGAUGGGUUGCUAGAGUGACAGAAGCUUAAACCCUAGUUUAUGCGUUGCUUCGUAAGGGGCUGAUUUGGAUCCAUAUGUUUCAUGCUAUGGUUAGGUUUACCUUAAUACUUAUUUUGUAGUUGCGGAUGCUUGCAAUAGGGGUUAAUCAUAAGUGGGAUGCUUGUCCAAGGAAGGGCAGUACCCAAGUACCGGUCCACCCACAUAUCAAAUUAUCAAAGUAACAAACGCGAAUCAUAUGAGCGUGAUGAAAACUAGCUUGACGAUAAUUCCCAUGUGUCCUCGGGAGCGUUUUCCUUCAUAUAAGAGUUUGUCCAGGCUUGUCCUUUGCUACAAAAAGGAUUGGGCCACCUUGCUGCACCUUAUUUACUUUCAUUACUUGUUACCCGUUACAAAUUACCUUAUCACAAAACUAUCUGUUACCGAUAAUUUCAGUGCUUGCAGAGAAUACCUUACUGAAAACCCCUUGUCAUUUCCUUCUGCUCCUCAUUGGGUUUGACACUCUUACUUAUCAAAAGGACUACCAUAGAUCCCCUACACUUGUGGGUCAUCAGCAGCUACCGCCGGAGAGCUCUUGGUCCUUCCCCCAAAGAAAGCGUCGUCUGCAUUUGUCAAUUUCCUUCAGCAGUUUCUUGGGGACUCGCAGCGCUGUGAGGGGAAAGGUGGGCGGUGCCGAGAGGACGCAGCGGACAAGUACGCGCCUGCCCGCCAUGGAAAGCAUCCGUCCCUUCCACCCCGCAAGCCGGGCCCGGACACGGUCGAGGAUGAAUUGUAGGUGAACUAGGCGUAGCCGGCCCGUGGUGAGGGGUAGACCUAGGUAUCUAAUUGGGAAGUGGGCGAUCGGACCGCGGAAAGCGUGAAGAACUAGUUCUAGGUCGAUGUUGUUGCAGUGGAUCGGCGUGGCCAUAGAUUUAGCAAGGUUUAUCCGUAGGCCCGAGGUGUUACCGAAGCUAUGGAGGAUGAGCAUCAGGUGGUCAAUUUCCUCCUUGUCAGGGUUUGCAAAAAUUAUAGCGUCGUCGGCGUAUAGGCUCACUCUGAGCUUGAUCUCUCUACCAGGCACCGGCAUGAUCUCGAGCGCCUCCUCAGCGGCUUGGAGAAGGCUGUGGAUGGGGUCGAUCGCAAUUAUGAAGAGGAGAGGGGACAGGGGGUCUCCUUGCCGCAGUCCCCGGCGGUGGGAGAUUUGCACGCCUGGUGACCCGUUGAGGAGGAAGGCCGAGGAUGAGGUGGCGAGGAGUAGCGUGAUCCAAUCCCGCCAGCGUGCACUAAACCCUAGCCUCGUGAGCAGCUCCAGGAGAUACUCACGAGGCUAGGGUUUAGUGCAUGCCAUGCGUGAGGGGAAUCCAUCGCCGUCCUCAUCAUCAACCAUCCUCCAUCACCAAUUCCAUGAUGCUGACCGCCAUGCGUGAGUAAUUCCAUCGUAGGCUUGCCGGACGGUGAUGGGUUGGAUGAGAUUUAUCAAGUAAUCGAGUUAGUUUUGUUAGGGUUUGAUCCCUGGUAUCCACUAUGUUCUGAGAUUGAUGUUGCUAUGACUUUGCUAUGCUUAAUGCUUGUCACUAGGGCCCGAGUGCCAUGAUUUCAGAUUUGAACCUAUUAUGUUUUCAUGAAUAUAUGCGAGUUCUUGAUCCUAUCUUGCAAGUCUAUAGUCACCUACUAUGUGUUAUGAUCCGACAACCCCGAAGUGACAAUAAUCGGGACCACUCCCGGUGAUGACCAUAGCUUGAGGAGUUCAUGUAUUCACUAUGUGUUAAUGCUUUGAUCCGAUAAUCUAUUAAAAGGAGGCCUUAAUAUCCCUCAGUUUCCACUAGGACCCCGCUGCCACGGGAGGGUAGGACAAAAGAUGUCAUGCAAGUUCUUUUCCAUAAGCACGUAUGACUAUAUUCGGAAUACAUGCCUACAUUAUAUUGAUGAAUUGGAGUUAGUUCUGUGUCACCCUAUGUUAUGACUGUUAAUGAUGAACCGCAUCCGGCAUAAUUCUCCAUCACCGAUCCAAUGCCUACGAGCUUUUCACAUAUUGUUCUUCGCUUAUUUACUUUUCCGUUGCUACUCUUACAAUCACUACAAAACCCAAAAAUAUUACUUUUGCUACCGUUACUAUUACUUCCAUACUACUUUGCUACUAAAUACUUUGCUGCAGAUACUAAGUUAUCCAGGUGUGGUUGAAUUGACAACUCAACUGCUAAUACUUGAGAAUAUUCUUUGGCCCCCCUUGUGUCGAAUCAAUAAAUUUGGGUUGAAUACUCUACCCUCGAAAACUGUUGCGAUCCCCUAUACUUGUGGGUUAUCAAGACUAUUUUCUGGCGCCAUUGCCGGGGAGCAUAGAUCUAUUCUUUGAGUCACUUGGGAUUUAUAUCUGCUGGUCACUAUGAAGAACUUGAAAGACGAGAAAACAAAAAUUUAUCCCUCAACUACGAGGGGAGGUAAGGAACUGCCAUCUAGCUCUGCACUUGAUCCACCUUCUGUUUUGAGUAAGCUUGCGACAGCUAAACCUGCUUCUGCUAUUAAUUCUGAUAUGUCGCAUGUUAUUGAUGAUGCCACUUCUGCUAUGCAUGAUACUUAUGAUGAAACUACUUCUAUGCUUGAUACUACUGUGCCACUUGGUGAAUUUCUUGAUGAACAACUUGCUAGGGCUAGAGAGAAUGAAAGUAUUGAAACUGAUAAUAUUGAUGCCUGUUGUGCCUGAGGGCUAUGUUAUGGAUGAAGAAACUAAAAGAGACUUUCUUCCUUGCAAUGAUAGAAGUGAUGAAGAAAUUAUUAGCUAAGCUUAAACAAAAAACUCUGAAUGCUAGAAUGAAAUAUGAUCCUGCUUAUGCUACUUCACCUAUCUUCGUUACUGAUAAUGAUUAUGAAUUCUCUGGUGAUCCUGAUAUAAUUACUUUGGUUGAAUCUGAUCCUUUCUAUGGCUAUGAAUCUAAAACUGUUGUGGCACAUCUUACUAAAUUAAAUGAUAUAGCCACCCUGUUCACUAAUGAUGAGAGAACUCGUUACUUUUAUAUCCUUCAAAUAUUUCCGUUCUCAUUAAAGGGUGAUGCUAAGAUAUGGUUUAAUUCUCUUGAUCCUGGUUGUGUGCGUAGUCCCCAGGAUAUGAUUUACUACUUCUCUGCUAAAUAUUUCCCUGCUCAUAAGAAACAAGCUGCUUUAAGGGAAAUAUAUAAUUUUGUGCAAAUUGAAGAAGAGAGUCUCCCACAAGCUUGGGGGAGGCUUCUCCAAUUACUUAAUGCUUUGCCUGAUCAUCCUCUGAAGAAACAUGAAAUACUUGAUAUCUUUUAUAAUGGACUAACCGAUGCUUCCAGAGAUUACCUGGAUAGUUGUGUUGGUUCUGUUUUCAGGGAAAGAACACCGGAUGAAGCUGAGAUUCUAUUGAAUAAUAUGUUGACUAAUGAAAAUAAUUGGACACUCCUGAGCCAACUCCUGAGCCUAUUCCUAAACCAACUCCGAAGAAAAGGGGUGUUCUAUUUCUCAGUCCUGAAGAUAUGCAAGAGGAAAAUAAAUCUAUGAAAGAAAAAGGUAUUAAAGCUGAAGAUGUUAAGAAUUUACCUCCUAUUGAAGAAAUACAUGGUCUUAAUUUACAGCCUGUUGAAGAAAUAUAUGAUCUUAAUUCAUCACCUAUUGAAGAAACUCAUGGUCUUGAUAACCCGACAUAGGUAGUAAAGGUAAAUUCUCUCUAUAGAUUUGAUGAAGGUGAUAUUCCUCACUAUAAGUCUACUAUACAGUGCUUGGAUGAGUUUGACAAUUUUAUUGUUAAACAAGAAAAUUUUAAUGCUUAUUUUGGUAGACAAUUAAAACAAAAUGCUUAUAUGAUUGAACACUUGGGUGAUUAUAUGUCUAGAGUUAAAGGUGAACUUAAACUCAUUUGUAAACAUGGUUCUAUGGUUACCACUCAAGUAUAACAAGUACUUAAAGCUCAGAAUGAUUUGCUCAAUGAACUUAAUAGUAAGAAUGAUGAUUAUGCUGUUAGAGUGGCUACUAGAACUAGUAAAAUGACUCAGGAACCUUUGUAUCCUGAAGGCCAUCCUAAGAGAAUUGAGCAAGAUUCUCAAAGAAAUAAUACAGAUGCACCUAGUCCUUCUAAAAAGAAGAAAAAGAAAAAUGAUAGGACUUUGCAUGCUUCUAAGGAGCCUGUUGCUGAAAUAAAUGAGAAUCCUAAUGAUAUAUCUAUUUUUGAUGCUGAAACACAAUCCGGUGAUGAACAUGAACCUAGUGAUAACGUUAAUGAUGAUGUCCAUGUUGACGCUCAACCUAGUAAUAACAAUGAUGUAGCAAUUGAACUCGUUGUUUAUCUUGAUAACCCACAAUCAAAGAAUCAACGUUAUGAUAAGAGAGACUUUGUUGCUAGGAAACACGGUAAAGAAAGAGAACCAUGGGUUCAGAAACCCAUGCCUUUUCCUCCCAAAUCAUCCAAGAAAAAGGAUGAUGAGGAUUUUGAGCGCUUUGCUGAAAUGAUUAGACCUAUCUUCUUGCGUAUGCGAUUAACUGAUAUGCUCAAAAUGAAUCCUUAUGCUAAGUAUAUGAAAGAAAUUGUCACUAAUAAAAGAAAGAUACCGGAAGCCGAAAUUUCCACCAUGCUUGCUAAUUAUACUUUUAAGGGUGGAAUACCUAAGAAACUAGGAGAUCCAAGAGUACCAACUAUACCAUGCUCCAUUAAAAGAAACUAUGUUAAAACUGCUUUAUGUGAUCUUGGAGCCCGUUUUAGUGUUAUGCCUCUCUCUUUAUAUCGUAGACUUGAUUUGAAUAAGUUGACACCUACUGAAAUAUCUUUGCAAAUGGCUGAUAAAUCAACUGCUAUACCUGUCGGUAUUUGUGAGGAUGUGCCUGUUGUGGUUGCAAACGUUACUAUUUUAACGGACUUUGUUAUUCUUGAUAUUCCCGAGGACGAUAGUAUGUCUAUUAUUCUUGGCAGACCUUUUUUGAAUACUGCAGGGGCUGUUAUUGAUUGCAACAAAGGCAAUGCCACUUUUCAUGUUAAUGGCAAUGAGCAUACGGUACACUUUCCGAGGAAACAACCUCAAGUCCACAGUAUAAAUUCUAUUGGAAAAAUUCCAUCGAUUAUUUUUGGAGGUUUUGAAUUUCCUCUUCCUACUGUCAAGAAGAAAUAUGAUAUUCUUAUUAUUGGGGAUGUGCAUAUCCCCGUUGAGGUAACAUAGUGUUAUUCGAAAUUUCUCCGGUUCCAUGUUAGUCAGAAUGAGUUUGUUAACAAGACCUGAUCAACCUUGUUAGUGGAUUCCUUUUGAUGAGCAUGAGAUGGAUGAAGUUAGAAAGCACAACCUUCUGUACCCUCCUUCUACUUUCUGUUAUUUAGUUGAAAUAAAGUAAAAUAGUAUUUUCCUAUCUGUUUUCUGAAUUAUCCUUGCAAUAUAAAAAUACCCCGAAAAUAAAAGUUCUCCAAAUGCCCUGCCAAUUUAAUAUGAUUUCUUCUGGAAUAUUUGAGAAUAUCUCGCACUGAGAACACAGCAGGGGGAGCAAGCACCUGGCCACGAGGGUCCAGGGCGCGCCCACCCCUACAGGGCGCGCCCCCUGCCUCGCGGGCCCACGGUGGCUCCCCCCCCACUUAUACCUGCACCCACACACUUCUUCCUCCUCCCAAAAAAAUCGCCAUCCAGCUCAAGCACGAGUUCUAGCUCAUUUUGCUGCGAUUUUCGAUCUCCUUGCUCAAAGCACCUCUCACAAAACUGCUUGGGGGUAUUGUUCCUUGGUAUGUGACUCCUCCAUUGGUCCAAUUAGUUUUUGUUCUAGUGCUUUAUUCAUUGCAAAUUUGUGCUGCCUAGGUGACCAUGUUCUUGAGCUUGCAUGUUAAAUUUAUAUGGUUCCAAGUAGUUCUAAUGCAUGAUAUAGGCUCUAGGCACUUGUAGGAGUAGUUGCUAUCAAUUUUGUUGAGUUUGGUUUACUUUUACUUGAAGUUACUAAAAAUUUCAGAAAUUUUGCACAGGAAGAAAUAUGUUUAGGAAAAUGUACCAAGGUGGUCCUUCAAGGGAACAAGGACCCAGGCAUGCAAUGCGUGAUGCUGAUGAUGAGCCACCAAGGGACGCUCCAGUGCGGCCUUGUGAAUGGCCUUCAGAGGACUUCAUGGAUCGAGCAGGAAUUAAGGACGAAUUUAACGCAUAUUUGCGUAACGCUGAUCUUGUGAGCUUCGAGGCAGAAAAGUGCCGCGAGUACAACUAUCUCACUAGUUCCUUUGUGAGGAGGUUUGAAUUUUCAUCUUCACGCAAUUCUCAAACUGUCCUGUUUGAUCUUUAUGAAAAUUCUUAUACUAUGGACUUAGAGGAUUUUACCACUGCUUGCAAACUUCCACAAUGGGGUAGUCCUAGUGAACCUCGCAAAUCUGAAUUUAGAGAUUUUCUUGCUAGUAUAACUGUGGGUGAAUCUAGAGACAUAACACAAGCUACCAUAGGGAGUAUUCAUUUUCGUGCUAUACAUUAUUUUGCUCUCUUCAUAGGUAGGUGCAUAAAUGGUAAGGAUGAAGCAUGUCACAUGUAUGUCCCUGACCUCAGUGUUCUCAGGAGUGCUGUGUUAGGAGACAAACAUUAUAAUUUAGGAGCCAUUGUCGCACGUAGGUUGCAUAAUAAUAAAAUUAAUGGAGAUUUCUUUGGAGGAAUUUAUGCAACCCGUCUAGCUAAUUUUCUUGAGGUACCUAUACGUGAGUAUGAUGUUGAGCUGCCUAAUGUUCAUUUAGAUUAUAAUGCCAUGGUUCAUCAUCGUUUUCUUGAGAGGAACGAGCAGUCCCUCCAGUAUCGCUUAAUCUUUGACACACGUCGCGCUGUCCAUAUUACUCUCCCUGCUCCUGCCUUCUUUGAUUAUCAGGCAAAAUGAAGACAUGUUAUUACCAGAGAGGAGGCAGAUGAGUACGAGAGGAGGGCGGAGGCAGCUCGCCGCCACGCUGCAGCUCAGGAGGCAAUAGCCGCUGCAUCUCAGUACUACCCCGGUUAUAACUUUGGAUAUCCACCAGGCCAUCCGUGGCAAUAGACCAACUUAGGCCAAAAGCCUAAGCUUGGGGGAGUACGUAUCUCUCACCGACAUUACAUUUAUGUUCACACACUCAUUGCUAGAUGUCGGUGCUCAUACUCUUUCAUUGUACUAUCCAUGCUAGUUUAUUUUCUUUUUCUUGCUUUCUUCUUGUGUGUUUGAUAAACCUUAAGAAAAACCAAAAAAAAAUUAGUUGUAGCUUUUAGCUAGUUUACUUUCUUGCUGUAGUCGUAAUAAUUAAAAAGAAAACCAAAAAAGAUUUCCCGUUCUUCUUUUGCUUGUUGGGAGCUUUCCCGUGUAAAUAGUUUUAUUUCUUUUCUUUUCUUUGGGGGUCGAUAGGAGAGGACCAUGAUUAAAUUGUUGAAGUGGCUCUUAUAUGCAUUAUUGUUGAUUUAACCAAGAGCCCAUAUUGCCUUGUCUUCUCAUGUUUAUUGAAUGCUUGCAGAUUCCAGCUUAGUCCAAUGCACAUGCACUAUUAUUAUUCACAUCGUUCGGUCGUGCAAGUGAAAGGCAAUUAUGUUGAUAUAUGAUGGACUGAUUGAGAUGAGAGAAGCUGGUAUGAACUCGACCUCUCUUGUUUUUGUAAAUAUGAUUAGUUCAUCGUUCCUGAUUCAGCCUAUUAUGAAUAAACAUGUUUGCAAUGACAAUUAGAGAUUAUAGUUGCUUAUGCCAUGCUUAAUUAGCUAGGAGUUUAUAAUGGUUUACCUUGCGUGCCAACAUGCUAUUAAAAUGGUUGUGAUGUGGUAUGAUGGGGUGGUAUCCUCCUUUGAAUGAUUCAAGUGACUUGACUUGGCACAUGUUCACACAUGUAGUUGAAACAAAUCAACAUAGCCUUCACGAUAUUUAUGUUAAUGGUGGAUUAUAUCCUACUCAUGCUUGCACUCAAUGUUUAUUAAUUUUAAUGCAUGUUCAUGACUGUUGUCGCUCUGUAGUUGGUCGCUUCCCAGUCUUUUGCUAGCCUUCACUUGUACUAAGCGGGAAUAUUGCUUGUGCAUCCAAUCCCUUAAACCCCAAAGUUAUUCCAUAUGAGUCCACUAUACCUUCCUAUAUAUGCGGUAUCUACCUGCCGUUCCAAGUAAUUUGUAUGUGCCAAACUCUAAACCUUCAAAUGAAAUUCUGUUUUGUAUGCUUGGAUAGCUCAUGUAUCAACUAGGGAUAUCCGUAUCUUCCAUGUUAGGCGGGUUAUUCUCAAGAGGAGUGGACUCCGCUCCUCACUCACGAGAAAAUGGCUGGUCACCGGGAUGCCUAGUCCCAUGCUUUAUGCAAAUCAAAUCAAAAUAAUUUCAAACAAAACUCCCCCUGGGACUAUUGUUAGUUGGAGGCACUCGUUGUUUCGAGCAAGCCAUGGAUUGAUGCUUGUUGCUGGAGGGGAGUAUAAACUUUACCAUUCUGUUUGGGAACCGCCUAUAAUGUGUGUAGCAUGGAAGAUAUCGCCAUCUCUUGGUUGUUAUGUUGACAAUGAAAGUAUGCCGCUCAAAAUAUUAUUUAUCUCUAUUUCAAAACCGAGCUCUGGCACCUCUACAAAUCCCUGCUUCCCUCUGUGAAGGGCCUAUCUAUUUACCUUCAUGUUGAGUCAUCACCCUCUUAUUAAAAAGCACCAGCUGGAAAGCACCGCUGUCAUUUGCAUCCAUUACUGUUAAUUUAUAUUGGGUAUGACUAUGACUGGAUCUCUUUUACCAUGAAUUACAAUGUCUAGUCAGUUCUUGAUCUUUAAAGGUGCUCAGCAUUUAUGUUUUGCGGUCUCAGAAAGGGCUAGCGAGAUAACAUCUUGUUAUAUCAUAUUAUGAUUGUUUUGAGAAAGUGUUGUCAUCCGAGAUUUAUCAUUAUUGCUCGCUAGUUGAUUAUAGCAUUGAUAUGAGUAAACAUGAGACCUAAGUGUUAUUGUGAAUAUGGUUAGUCAUAAUCUUUGCUGAAAACUUGAAUGUUGGCUUUACAUAUUUACAACAACAAGAGCAAACAGAGUUUGUAAAAGUUUUUCUUGAUCACUUUCAGUUUAUCAACUGAAUUGCUUGAGGACAAGCGAAGGUUUAAGCUUGGGGGAGUAGAUACGUCUCCGUCGUAUCUACUUUUCCAAACACUUUUGCCCUUGUUUUGGACUCUAACUUGCAUGAUUUGAAAUCUUCACCGUUUGUUUUCUAUCAUUUUAAUAAUAUAAUAGAUAGAUAGAUGCCUGGGAGUUAGGUAACCCCUUCUCUCCAAAAUAGUGAAAGUAACCAAUUUAUAUAUAUAAUUUACCGCAAAUAGUGCAAGGCACUCGUGGGACUAGAUUGUAGCAUGGGAUUUUAGGAUACUAGGGGCUUUGUUCAUGCAUUUUCGCUUGAAGAAACAUGUCUGCUACUUUGGGGUGGUGCUCCAAUGGUACACCGUCACCAUUUUGAGGCCCUUGACAGAAAAUUGAGAGAUAUACUUUCAAUGAACGGCAGCAACAAAUAUACUCUUCCUUUUGAUAUUCUAUAAUAGAAGAAAACUUCUAUGCUACAUUGAUUUGAUCUCUCACACCAAAACAACAGCCGGACAAAUCACAGCUAAACCGACGAUGGGCAAUUUCACAAGCGCGGCAGGCCGCCGCGGCUUCGCACGGCUAGUAUAGUUUAGACCGGCAAUGGAUAUGUAUUGCUAUGAUUCAAGUAAGUUGUGUUAUAGUACAAGCAGUGUUUAUGGAUGAAUAUAUAGUUCUACUAUUAUGUUGAUUACGGUAUUUGUGGCCUUGCUAUGGAAAAAAAUCAGCACAUAUAGAAACCACUAAUGAAAGUUUGUUUCUUUCAUUUUUUUCAUCUCUUACACUUGUUCCCUAUGUUGUGCAUUCUCUUUAUUCGGAUACAACUCGUACAGACAGAAUUCAUGUUGCCAUUCACCACAAGAAAAACUGCGAACACUGAGUGGUCGGUUGUAUGUCGAGUGUUAUUUUAUGGGGUGCUCAGCAUAAAACCCAAUUUGCCGAGCGAAAACUGGAAACACUCAGCAUAAUAUUACAGACCUUCCUUCCUCUUCUUGCUGGUCAGCUCUUCUCUCGCUCUACUGACAACAUCACAUGAUGCACCAGUCUGUAAUAAUGCACAGACACUCUGUAUCCCACUACUUCGGCAAAUCAUUGCCUUGGGUCCCACUUCUAUAGCUACAUGGUCAUGUGCACAACUCCCACCACUCCAGCCAAUAUCAGUGAUGUUUCCCGUCGUCUUCGACACUCUCUUUACUUGUCCCGUGCCUCUUUCCGCUCACCCACGGUUGCAUCAUCGAUCGACCACUUUGCCGAGGCAUAUCACUUUGCAUCACUCCUACUUGCACACAUUGUAUAGUUGCCGAGUUUUUCUUAUCUCCAAAUACCAUCUACCAGGACAUCAAUAUCAUCAUAAAGUUACAGUAUAGCUAGAAAGACAAAAGAAGAGCCACAAAAAACUUUCUGCUGAUUAAGUUCUGUCACGUUACCGAAAAAGCUCACGCCCCGCUUUAUACAUAAAGCAAGUUGUGUCACGUUCAAAAUAAGAUUUCCGCGACCAUGGCCAAGGUUAAAUCAAUUUCGCCUGAAGUUGAACAAGAAAAUUAACUCAUUUGACUGACAACAAGGAUCACAAACAACAUUCCAAUUUAAAGAACAUAUUGACUUUUGUCUUGUUCCCAGGAGAAGCACAAAUUGGCUUCUAGCCACAAUAUAUUAAAAAAAAUGGUGCGUGGGAGGAGGGUCGGGGGAUGUUACAAAAGUUGCAAUCCACAUGAAAAUGACAGCGGCAUGACAAAGCAAAAUAAAAGAGAUAUUUUAGCUGCUCAUAUAUUAUCUCCAACGGCUAAAUAAAUCCUAUGCACAACCGGCACACAGUAUUAGAACGACUCAAUUACAAGCAAAAAAGGUUCUUACGUGCGAGUACCAAUUGCCUUAACAAGUUGUACAACUUGAACCCGAAAGAAAUAUUCUUGAACUUAAUCAUUUUACACGUUUGUACCACUAGCACCUAGUUGGCUAGCUACUAGGUACGUGUGUCCCGAUUAGUACGACCUGACCUCUUCUCGGACAAUGAAGAUGGUGGAGUUUUUAGGUAGGUUGUUCUUGCCACGAGAUCAAAUGACGAAGUUCCUCCACAUCAGCAUAGGUAAUCUCGAUCAGAAGAAAUAACAGGCCGCCCACGAUGAUAUCUGACUACCUCAACGCGCGCACAUGUGCUUCGAAUUUGACCAGUGUAAUUCGUUGAGAUAUAUUUUCUCUAUGAAACUUUCCAAGCUUAGUUAUACCUCAGAGAAGCAAUCGAUCUUGUGCAGGCAGUAUAAAUACACAACGUACGCAUGGUGGCAGUCUAUCUCAUCGUUACAGAUACAUCUUCCUUGAUUAGUUUUGUAAGGCUUAAUCAGCGAUGGAGUACUCGCCGAAGCUAGCAGUAGUGGUGCUCUUAGCUCUCGCGUCCGCCAUGGCGGUCACGGGCCAGAACUCGGAGCAGGACUUCGUGGACGCCCACAACGCGGCGCGCGCCGACGUGGGCCUUGGGGAGGUGACAUGGGACGCUACGGUGGCAGCCUUUGCGCAGGACUACGCGGAUCAGCGCCGCGGCGACUGCCAGCUGAUCCAUACUCCUGAUGGCCGGCCGUACGGGGAGAACCUCUACGGAGGCGGCGGCGGCGGGACCGAGUGGACGGCGACGGACGCCGUGAAUUCGUGGGUGUCGGAGAAGCAGUACUACGACCACGACAGCAACACCUGCUCGGCGCCGGAGGGUGAGUCGUGCGGGCACUACACGCAGGUGGUGUGGCGCGACUCGACGGCCAUCGGUUGCGCCCGCGUCGUCUGCGACAGCGGCGACGGUGUGUUCAUCAUCUGCAGCUACAACCCGCCAGGCAACUUCCCCGGGGUGAGCCCGUACUAGGCUAUAUGCAUCAUGCAUGCACGCAUGCGAGCGUGCAUGUACGUACGUAGCAGCGUAUUGCAUAAAUAAAAUGAUUAAGCUGAGAUAACCACAGUGUGAUCAGAUGUGAUGUAUAGUUAACCAGCCGGCCGGAUUUGACGCCAUAUAUUGUUUAGACCGGCUGUAUAUAUGUACUGUUAUGAUUCAGGUAUUAAGUUGUGUUAUUGUACGAGCAGUGUUUAUGGAUGAAUAUAUGGUUCUACUAUUAUACUGAGUAUGGUAUUUGUGCCUCGCUGUGGAAAAAAACCCAGCAUACAUAGAAACCACUAAUCAAAGUGUC
rnacentral:lncRNA from 1 species